rnacentral:lncRNA from 1 species
AAAUAACACAUAAUUAGCAUGCCAAACUGUGUGUCGGCUCUGCAGCGCAGAGCAACACAGCGCUGGGAGCUGGCUGCUGUUGCCUGCAGCAGCUCGGCAGUUACUUAAUGUGACGCCCCCAAAAUAGGUAUACAUCACCCAUCUUGGGUCACCAAAUACAUGGUACUUAAUACAAAUACAAACUUAAUUAUACAACAUGAGCUGAGAGGUUUUACACGAAUAUUGUCAUCUAGACAAUAUCCAAACUCAAAUAGAGUUCUCAUUACAUUUAUCGGCAUACUAUUUUAUAGAAUAGUGAGGACUACUAUAACACCAUCUCGGGCAAUCACUCCGUUCCCCGACUAGUUCCGGCUACGUUCUCAUUUCCUGAAGAGAACAAUGGAAGUAAAAGGGUGAGUUCAACUAGCCCGGUAAGAAAUAUUAUGACUAAGAUAGUGCAGAAUAAGUUAUCAUUAGCCUUCAACAAUGUUAAACUGAUAGAAUAUAAUAGACAACAAGUUUAACUGCAGUGGAACAAGCAAUCCAUUAGAAGAGUCAAGUAGAGCAUGAUAUCUACUAUCUUCUAUGAUUUAAAAAGUUUAUCAAUAACUUUAUUGCUGGGACUCAACUUAAUAAAUAGAUCACAUCAUCGAAUCAUCCCUUCACUACGAGCCAAGGAUAUUCAUUAGUAUCACGUCCACAAAUUAUUCUUGCACUACGGGCCAAGAAUUAUUCGUGUAAUCAUCAAUGGUCAUGACUAUACCGAAUUAUCCCUGGUCAUAAUCAUACCAAUCUACAGUCCAUCUAUUCACGUAAGCCAAAGAUGACUUUCAUCACAAUAUAAUCAUGAGGAUGAUGACAAUGAUAUAAGAAUUCAAUUAAAAGAAAGCAAAGGAUAAUUUUUUAAAGAUUUAUAAUUUAAUUUAUCCAAAAUUCAAUAAUGUCCAACUUUUCAACAUGAUACUGCUUUGGACAUAAAAAAAAUAAAUUUUUUGGUGAAUAGUACCUCAUGAAUAGUACUUCAGGAAUAGUACCCCGUGAAUAGUAUCCCGAUAUGAAAAGUGGCCCAAAUACCCGAGUGAACAAUAUUUGAGUGUAGUAAUUAGGUGAAUAGUAACCCGUGAAUAGUAACUCGUGAAUAGUACCCCGAUAUGAAAAGUGCCACGAAUACCCGAGUGAAUAAUAUUAUAGUGAAUAGUAACCAGGUGAAUAGUAACCCAUGAAUAGUAACUCAUGAAUAGUACUUCGAGUAAAAAUAUUGAUAUUUAAUAAAAAAGUUCAUAUCAAUAUUCCAAUAAAAUAAUAUUGGAUAAUGCGCAAAACUCACGGAUGUUCCACUAAUUUCAAGGAUUAUAGAAGCAAUACUUACCAUAGUAAGUUUAGAUUUAAGAAUAUGAAAAGAAUUAACAUACGAAAACUGCAAAUGGAUUUUCACCUAUCAUACGGUACGUAAUCCGCGUAGACAGGUUAUUCCGACAUACUAAAGGAUGAAUACGAAAAAUAGUAUUCCUUAUGAAUACGAAAGAAAUAAUACCAUUUACCUUAGUAGAAAGCUGGAUACUGCAAAAGUGAAGUAGGAGAAUACUCUUCUUCUUGCUCUCUAUAGUUUCUCUCUCUAUAGUGUCUCUUGUGAAUCUCAGUGAAUUGGUGAGAAUGAAAGAAGAAUUAAGCUUCUAUUUAUAGGAGAAUGGACUAAAUAGUAACUAAUUCACGAACGGUCCAGAUUGAUUCACUAUUAAAACGGACGGUCCAUAUUGAUUACUAUUAAAACCACAACCGACGGUCCAGAUUGAUUUACUUUUAAAACCACCACUGACGGUCCAGAUUGAUUUACUUUUAAAACCACCAUCAAUGGUCCAGAUUGAUUUACUAUUAAAACCACCACCAAUUGUCCAGAUUGAUUUAACUUAUCACACUUUAGUACCCCUAAAGUUUUCCAAGUUUGCAUUAUUCCCCUCUAACUUUUAUAAUUCACUUAUCUUCAAUAAACGCAUUCUUAAUACUUCAACAAUUAUUUAUCAUUAAUAUUAUAACUCACAAUAUUUAACAACCAGAUCAUUCCCAGAAAAGAGGGGGCUUUCCAAUAAGGAUUUCUCUCUAUUGGCGCGCAAUUAGGUGACCAAACCUCUCCUCGACAGAACUUUCUAGACAUUGUCAAUAUUGCAAAUAAUAAUAUGAAUAACUUUGUUGUCUCAAUUAUUGAUUUAAUAAUAUAAAAUAUUAUGCAGAUGAUACUGUGACAAUAAUUGAAUCAAUAAUAUGAGAGAUAUGAUGCAGCAAUUACUGUAGCAAUAAUUGAGUAUAACUGAGUGACUUCUCACGUAAGCAUCAAUAAUCAAUACCGUGUGCUACUAUGCAACCACGCGUAUUACUGUACUUUUACCACCGGGUAGUUCAACAGUUUAACGGUAAAACUUCCGCUGUUAUUUUUAUAAAAAGAUAUUUAUGUCAUUUUCUAACUAAGAUAAUACUUCCGUUGUGGAGUCCACCAAUGAUUGUGCCGUCGUACGAAUAUUCCCUGCUAAAACGAAUAUUCCCCGACCAAUCGAAUAUUCACUGACACAACGAAUAUUUUAUAUCAACUUGCUUACUUUGCAAAAUUUUUCAAAUAUUACCCACAACUAUAACAUUAUAUCAUAUCCACACCAUAAUAUUCAAAAAUAUAUUUCGAGAAAAAUUAAUCUUUAUAAAAAAAAGUUGGGGUCUUACACUUAACAUAUACCAUUCUCCCUUUUUUGUUGUACUUUUAAGUUUAUGAUAUGCAAUCUGGUUUAGGCCUAAGUCCUGGUAUAGCGUAGUGACCAUGACUACUUACUAAGGUGAUGACUCGGACUACCAAAUAGAAUUCAUUUUGCUGCCAAAGUAAUGAUAACAAGAAUAGCUUGUCACAUUGAUUCUUUAGUUUAUGUUUUGGCUUAAACUAACUUUUCAUUACUCAAAACACUUUUAUUAACCAUACAUGUGUUAACUAAAUCAGGUUCAAUAGCUUUCCAACCUUGACAAAUAAUAUGAACAAUGUAUUUACAUAGUAUGUAUAAAAAUAACAACCCAAAUUGGGUUCUUAAAUACAUAAUUUCUCUGUUUCCACAUAUUCCUUUAGCAUUCAAGGUUCAUCCCUUGCUUUUAUAACCACUUGGAUUUAUUCACUCAUCUUAGCUAACCACAUAAAACACAUAUAAUUAUUGCACUUUUAUUAUCAAACAACUAAAAUAUUGAACAUACCAUUAAAGUUUAGUUUUACCGAAUUGCUAGCUUAUUUGAUAAGUUUAUAAGUUUCCUUUACUGCUGUAGAUUUUGAUUUCCAUCUCCUUUGUUUGGUUGAGUUGAAAUUUUAAAGCUACCAUAGAUGAGACAUUCACUUAAUAUUGAGGUAUAUUAGUUGGGCAAGUUUGGUUAGUUCAAAUGGACUGACCGAGAGCCAAGGAAGCCCCCAGUCAUUGACUGUCAUGGUGACUGCUGCUGCCGUGGGCAACAACCUUGCUCUAGACACUUAACAAUCUAACAACUUUUGAUUCAUUCGUCAUACAAUAGCAUAUUUUUAGAGUAUAUUAUACAUUGCAUACAAGGCUAUAUUUACUGAUUAUAAACUACCUACUUUGGAAUCUUCAAAUUACCCAAAAUAAUGCCCAAAAUUACUAGGCAUAGUGGAUUCCCAACUUUUCAUUUGGCUUAACAUCAUUUUCUUUUCAGUUUAACUUACUUAAAUCUCUUUAUUAACUGAAUAAAGUGAUCUACAUACAAACUUUGCUUUGGCUUCUACUUUUUUUUGAUUUUAAUCAAAACAGUCCAUUGAGGACUUUUAACAAACACCCUACGUGCACUAUUCUGUGGCACAGGUUUCAUAGCUAUUUACUUACUCUUUAACUCCAAUAAGUCACCUUAUAACACCUCAACCAACCUAUCUCCUUGUGCCUAAACCAAGCAAUAAAAAUAAAAUAACUUAAGAAGAGUCGGGCCUAAUAGUUAUCAUAGCAACAAUAUCCAUAUAGCAGUCAUUAAUUCUAUUGCAAGCCCUCCGACCAUUACAAUCCAUUAGUAGCCAGGAAAUGGAAUGGAAAGGAUUGGAGAGCUUACCUUAAUAGUUCAGAGGUUGUAAUAAGUUAUUGUUCGAUUUCUUCUCCUUCUCUCUAUGUGUGUUUUAGUUUUGAAGCUUAGUUGAUAGUAUAUCAGCUGAGUUUGAGGUUCUUUGUAUGUCUAUAUGUAGCUAAGAAGGAAAGGGGUAGCCAUCAUGGCUCUACAUAGCGGUUACUACAUUACUCUGACAGCCUAAGUCAGUUGCCCCUGCUCAUUUGAUGCACUCCCUCUUGGACCCUAUGCAGUCUCCUUAUCUGGCCCCUAACUUGCAACCUAUAUUGGCCUCUAUAAGUCUCAUGGUAGCCUACCUCUGUUAGCAACUACUUUGACCCCUAUUUUUACCUGACAUACUGGCUAAUACAGUGAUUUAGCCUCCCAACAGUUAGCUUAGGUAUUCUAGAGGUCAACCAACCUGCUAACUAACUGUCAAUUUGAGUUAGCUAUAAAUUGAAGCGAACUAACUGAUCUAUAAAACUCAACUACACAGCUCACAUUUCUUUAAUAAGGAUUGCCGGAUUGGGCUUGUGAAAAGGCUAGGUAUUGCUUUAAUUUGGGCCCAAAAUCUUAAAACCAAUGUAACACAUUUACAAGCAUACUUUGCAAAAUUUAGUAUGGUCCAAUUAUUUCAAUAUGGACUCAUAUUAAGUAUAAAACACAUGAAUUUUAUCUACCAUAUUUAUUUUAGGCUAUCAACAAUGGUUAGCACAUAUAUCAUUAAAAUGAUGGUUCCAUGUAGUUUUAAAUAAAUCAUGAUAGUACAUCAUCUCUUUAUUUGUUAUUAAAUAACACUUUUUUUAUCUUAAUAUAAUUAACUCUUUAAACACAUAGAUAGCUUCAUGUCAAGAAUCUUUCUCAAUUAAGCCAUCUUAGCUUUCCUUUUUAUUCUUGAUAUUUAUUUAACAUUAUAUUAAUGUAUACUAUUCAUCCUCUCCUUUACCAUACAAGGUCUUGAGAUAUAUAUAUAAGUUAAUAAAUAAUAAAUAAAUUAAUGCCACUUCAAUUAGGUAUAUAAUAAUAAUAAUAAAUUUAUACCCAAAAUUUGACGUUAUAAUAACUGAAUAUUACAUAUUAUUUUCUCAGUCAUUACAUUCUCCCCCCCUAUAAGGAUUCCGUCCUCGGAAUCACAAGUACAAGGUUACUCAAAAAGAUGGGGGUAACUUUUCUUCAUCUUUUCUUUGAGUUCCCACGUAGCUUCCUCAGCACCGUGGUUCAUCCGUAUCACCUUUAGAGAAGGUAUUAUUUUGUUUCUCAAAACUUGUUAUUUCCUAUCAAUUAUUUGAACAGGAACUUCUUCGUCGGUUAGAUCUUUUUCUACCUAAAUAGGUUCAUAUUGAAUUACAUGUUUGUGAUCUUAUUUAUAAGGUCGUAGCACUGAUACGUGAAAUAAAUUAUGAAUGUGCCCUAAUUCCGGAGGUAAAGCUACUUCAUAAGCCACCUCAUCUAUUCGCUUUAGCACUUCGAAAGGUCCUACGAAUCUUGGACUCAGUUUUCCCUUCUUUCUAAAUAAAAUUGUUCCUUUCCAAGGAGAUAAUUUUAAAAACACAAACGACCCUAUUUCAAAAUCUCUCUUUUGGCGGUGCAAAUAUGCAUACUUCUUUUGCCUGUCUUGAGUUGCUACCAAUCUUGUUCGUAUUACUCGGACUAUUUAUGCAAUUUGUUAAACCAUUUCUGGUCCCAAUAGUUUACGUUCUCCUUCCUCGUCCCAAUAGAGCGGGGUUCUAAAUUUUCUUCCGUAUAAUGCCUUGUAAGGCAACAUUCCUAUACUUGCGUGAUAACUAUUAUUAUAUGCAAACUCGACCAAAGGUAGGUGAUCAUCCCAUUUGCCCUUGAAAUCAAUGACGCAUGCUCUUAGCAUAUCUUCCAAUGUCUGAAUUGUUCUUUCACUUUGGCCGUCAGUUUGAGGGUGAUAUGCCGUACUCAACUUCAAUUGUGUCCCCAUACAUUCUUGUAGACUUCUCCAAAAAUUAGAUGUGAAUCUCAAAUCUCGAUCGGAUACAAUUGAUAAUGGAAAUCCAUGUCUUGAUACAAUCUCUUUAACGUAUAGUUUAGCCAAUUGAUCUAGAUUAAAUCUGAUCUUAAUUGGUAAGAAAUGCACUGACUUUGUCAACCGAUCCACGAUGACCCAUAUAACGUUGAAACCUUUAUGUGUAGUUGGAAGUCCCACAACGAAAUCCAUAGUUAUGUAUUCCCAUUUCCAUUUUGGAAUUUCUAGCGGUUGUAGAAAUUCACUUGGUCUCUGAUGCUCUUCUUUCACUCUUUGACAAGUUAGACACCUACUGACGUAUUCUUCCACCUCUCUUUUCAAAUUAGGCCACCAAAAGUGUUGUCGAAGGUCUUGAUACAUCUUUGUGCUGCCCGGAUGAAUUGAGAAAAUUGAACUAUGUGCUUCUUGUCGGAUUUCCUCUUUUAGGUUUGGUACUGCCGGUACCCACACUCUUUCUUCAAAUCUCAAUAAUCAUUCUUUAUCUAUUUUGAAUUUAGUGACCCCUUCUUCCUCUACUUGUUUCUUCACUUUAUUACAUUCUUCAUCUUGUUCCUGAGCUUCCUUUACUCUAUCCAACAACACUGGACAAGUCUCCAAGUUAAACAGUUUCUCUUCCGACUCUCUCAGAUAUUUUAUCUCAAUAUCCAUUUUCUCCAUUUCUUUGAUGAGCUCGUCCUUAUCUGUUAGCAUCUCUAAUCUUUCUCCUCCCUUCCGGCUUAAAGCGUCGGCGACUAUGUUAGCUUUUCUGGGAUGAUACAAAAUUUCGCAAUCAUAGUCUUUGAUCAGUUCUAACCAUCUUCUCUGCAUCAUGUUUAAUUCCUUUUAUGUGAAGAUAUACUUCAGACUUUUAUGGUCUGUGUAUAUCUCACAUUUCUCACCAUACAAAUAAUGUUUCCAAGAUUUUAAAGCAAAUACUACUGCUGCCAGCUCCAAGACGUGCGUAGAAUACCCUUUCUCGUAAUCCUUCAACUGGCGUGACGCAUAUGCUAUGAAAUUGUUGUGCUGCAUUAAAACGCAACCAAGCCCUUUGUGUAAUGCACAGCUGUAAACAAUGAAACCACCCGCAUCGUCUAACAAAGAUAGCAUUGGUGCUUCACUCAAUCUUUUCUUUAGUUCUUGGAAAAUCUUUUCACAUUUUUCUGACCAAAUGAACUUUACUGUUUUUCUGAUCAAAUUCAUCAAAGGUCUUGACAAUUUGGAAAAAUCAUUGAUGAAUCUAUGGUAAUAACCUGAUAGACCAAAGAAACUUCAUAUUUUAGUUGGUUUUUUCGGUAUUUCCUAGUUAAUUACCGCCUCUAUUUUUGUCGGAUCUACUGAUAUCCCUUCGUGGUCGAUCACAUGUCCCAAAAAUUGCACCCUUUCUAACUAAAACUCGCAUUUUGAAAACUUUGCAUACAACUUUUCUCUUCUUAAGAUCUCCAAUACCAUCCUCAGAUGUUCUGCGUAAUCCUCUCGAGUCUUCGAAUAAAUCAAGAUAUCGUCAAUGAAUACCACCACAAAUCUAUCUAAGUAAGGUUUUAAUAUAUGGUUCGUUAAAUCCAUGAAUUUUGCAGGUGCAUUAGUUAGUCCAAAUGACAUCACUAAGAACUCAUAGUGGCCGUAACGAGUCCUAAAUGCAGUCUUUGGCACGUCUUCAUUCCUCACUUUCAAUUGGUGAUAACCUGUUCGAAAAUCUAUCUUGGAAAAAUAGCGAGCUUCCUUCAGUUGAUCAAAAAGAUCAUCGAUUCUUGGUAAUGGAUACUUAUUUUUUAUUGUGAUUUUAUUCAAUUCUCUAUAAUGAUACACAGUCGUAACGAUCCAUCCUUAUUUUUGACAAAUAACAUAGGUGCUCUGCAGGGAGACACACUCGAUUGAAUGUGCUUUUUAUCUAAUAAUUCCUGUAAUUGAAUCAUUAGUUCUUUCAUCUCUACCGAAUCCAUUCGGUACGGAGCUUUGGAAAUCGGGUUUGUACCAGGCACUAAGUUUAUCAUGAAUUUGAUCUCCCGAUCCGGUGGUAACCCUGGCAACUCAUUUGGAAAUAUAUCCGUGAAUUCCCUUACUAUUGGUAUUUGUUCUAUUUUCAUUACCAUUCUUUGGGUGUCAACUACACGGGCUAAAUAACCAACACACACUUUUCUUAACAGCUUCUUGGCCUGCAUCAUCGUCAGACAACAUGACUGUCUCGGUGAUUUGCUAUCAUAAAACAUGACUUUUGACUUACUAGGAGUCUGAAGGUUUAUGCAUUUCUUUUGGCAAUCAAUUCUCGCCCCAUGGUUAUACAACCAAUCCAUUCCUAGUAUCACAUCAAAUUCACCUAAUCGGAUAGGAAUUAAAUUCACUAUAAACUUAUGACCCCGUAUAUCUAUACUAUAAUUUUUAUGAACAUGAGUUACGGGAAUGACUUUUUUAUUUGCGACCUCUAUGUUCAAAGGACGAUCCAAUCUUUCGGGAGUUAAUUCUAACCUUUGAGCAAAUUUCUCAGAUAUAAAAGAAUAGGUAGCCCCCAAAUCAAAUAGUAUAAAGGCAUUAAUGUUAUUGACUGGAAUGAUACUUGACACUACCUCCUUUGAUGCCACUUCACCCUGCACAAUCAUGUUGAACGUCCUGGCAGUUGGUCGAUUGGAUGGGGUUGGUACCCCGAUUAUCAGUUUCCCACCGUUGUUUCCUUUCUUUGGAUAAUUCUUAAUUUGAUGAUCCGCAGCUCCACAUGCAAAACAUCCCUGAACUUUCUUUGGGUUGGUGCAAUUAGGAGAGAUGUGUCUCUCCUGCCCACAUUUAGAACAAACCGUUUUCCCCUUCAUGCAGAGUCCCAAAUAAUUUUUCCCACACUUCUUACAUGCUUUUAUCUUUCUUCUCUGUUCUCCCUGCUUAAUGCUAAAUUUAUUGCUCUUAUUGUUCCACUUUCUUUUGUUAAAAUUAUUUCCUUUGCUACUUCCCUCUCGAGGUCUUAUUUCUACCUUUUUAUCUUUUUCUGUUGAUGAAAUUUGGCUAGUGUGUCAGUUCCUCCUUCCGCGAUUAUGGCUUUUUCCAGCAUGUUAGAAAACGUGUUUAUUUGAAAUAUUGAAACCUUAUUAAAAAGUACAGGCUUUAGUCCUUGUUCAAAUCUCCGAGCCUUCCGUUCUUCAGUGUCAACCUGAUGCGACACAAACUUCGAUAGUUCAUUUAAUUUCGCAGCAUAUUCAGGUACAUUCAUACUUCCUUGUUUUAGUUCGAAAAAUUCAGCCUCCAUCUUAUUUUUCAUGAUACGGGGAAAAUAGGCUUCGAAGAACAGUUCUUUAAACCUAUCACAUGUCACUACUCCUACUUCAGCUCUAUUUUUGUUGGCUCCCCACCAGUAGCUUGCUUCCCUUUUCAACAUGAAAGUGGCAAAAGCUGUCUUUUGAUCCUCAGUAACUCUGACAACUUCGAAUACAUUUUCCAUUUCAUUUACCCGUAUUUGGGCUUCUAUCGGGUUAUUAGUUCCUUUAAAUUCUGGGGGUCCUACUGCUUUAAAAUCCUUAAAGGUGGUCAAAUGACCUUCAGGAGGGUUUGGGUUUACUGGCGGUACGACAUUCCUACCUUGAAGUGCUUGGGUUAACAAAUCAACAAACUGUUUCAUAAAGUUUUCUAGACCCGCCGAGUUAUUUACAGACUCCUCUUGAGUUGAUGGGGUUUGUGCCCUAAGUCUUUUUCUUCCCUUCCCUCUCCAUCUCGGUGGCAUUUUCUGUUUAAUAUACGUUUUAUCAUCAUUUUAAUAUUUAUAAUAAUGCACAUUGUAUCAAGUAUACACAUCCUUCUAUAACAGAAAAACAUACAUAUUUAUAUUUAUAUGCUUUUUCAAGUUGCGCUAAGCACGAUAAAUCACGUUGCAUACUGCUAUAAACGUUCUAAUCCCUACUUACUACAUAUAGUCGGGAUUUACAUUUAAACUGCCCUUAACUACAAAAUUUGGGCUCCCAAAAGUAUUAUCCCCUUAAUAUACAAAAGAGGGGUACAUCCAUCUGAUUCAUAUUAAUAAACUACUAAAAACAUACUACAUAGAUACCUACACCAAACAGACACAUUAUCAAAGCCCAGACAGACUACUGAAGAAGCAUGCCUUCCCUUUUGGCGCUGCGGAGUUCCUCGUCUCCAAUGUCCAUUACCCUUUUGCGAGUCAGGACCAGUUCACUUCCACCCCCAUCUAUAGGGUGAAGCUGCAGCCUAUGUUCUAGCGUAAGAAUGCAGUCUUAAAUGCAUAAUCCAUCUUGUCUAUUUUGGCAUCUUUGCCCCUAACCUCAUCCUUCAGUUCAUGGGCUCUGCCUAAUGCCUUGUCUCUUUGUUGUUCAACCCUUCUCCUGUCAGCUUUCAACACUUCUGUCUCAUGCCUAAGAAUUAUGUUUUUUAUGCUUGAUGGUCUUUUUUUGAUGCAUGUUUUGUUGAGCCUCCUUCUCCCAAUUCUUAUAGGUUAGCUCCAUCAGGGCAUCAUCCUCCUCUAUGAAGGGUUCUUCAGAAAAACCCCCAAACUGGUCCUCUAGAUCCUCUUGUUUUAACUAUUUCUUUACUCUACUGGACUUUCCCAUCUCAGGCAUCUACAAAACACAUUAACAAACUUAAUAAGUUUCUAUACAACAUUACCAAGUAAUCACAUUUAGACUUUUUAUUUUCUUUAACAAUGAAUUCCCAGAAUUCAUCUCUUAUACUCGAAAUGAGUUUAACUAUUUCUCUUAAGGUCAUAAUCCUAAGGUGUUUCCCCAUUCCAAAGGUUUAUAACCUAUCAGCUUUGAUACCAACCUGUGACGCCCCCAAAUUUGGAUUACUUUUACCUCGAGUUUGGUGCUCACGAUACUAACAUACCCAUUCACUUCAUCAAAGUACAAAUUAAACCUGUCUUAGAUUACAUAUUUAUCUUACUUAACUCCCAGGUUCUAUAGACCUUUACAUUACUUAAAUACCAAAUAACAUUAAAAAACAUAGUAUUAAAAGUAUUUAUUACAUUCACUACUUAAGUUCAUAUAAGCACAGACGCUUAAUAAAUGAUUAUUCAGCAACUUUGCAUUUUCCUUUAUCUUUCUCAGAUGUACCAGCGCCCUCGGUUUUAACUGAAAACAUUAUAUUUAACGCAAGGGUGAGCAAAAGCUUGCUCAGCAAGGAAAUAAGCAGUUGAAUAUAAUGGAACAUGAAUAUUUAUAGCAAUGAGGAUACAAUUCAAUAGAUACCGAACAAGACAGUUUCUUUAACAGUUUCGAUUCUAAAAAUCAGGCUUUAACACGUUGUAAGGUCAAAUGAUCAGUGAACUCUGUAAUAGAAUUGAUAUCACUAACACUGCAAUCCAUGGAUACAAACAAUUAUUGAAGUUGUUCUAUAUCCUAGACUUGUACUUUAGGAGAUCAACCAAGUACCUUACAUUGUGCACAACAUAACAGUCUAAUGACACUUUACAUGUCCUUCGUAAUCAUAUGUCCGAUACAAUAUGCCCCUAUAAAAGGGUUGUUCGUUCACAGUAUUAUAUAAGAAUCCGCACCACAACAAAAUGGUUUGGAAAACAUUAAAUGAGAUUUUCAUGAAUAAUAUCAAUGUAUCUCAAUAGUUGUCUAACCGAAAUAAUGGCAUUAACAUUCUUUCAAUAUAAACUUAUUUAAGAGAGAAAGGUUCGAUAUACUUGAUAACAUUCUAACUAUUCUCUUGAAGCUGAUGGAAUAAAAAGGUUAUUUAACCUUGUAUUAUUCAUAAAUAAUGAGCGAGAGUUCAGAAUUUAGAGAACCUGUCCAUAUAUGAAUAAUUCUAGAAUACUUGCUCAAUAAAGAGUAAGAGUAGAAACUUCUCUGGUUUGUGGAUUACUGAUACAGACUCAAUUUAAUUUGUGUGUUCUCUCAGGUCCUACACAAGUAUUUGUAUUUACAAGCAUAUUAGCCACAUAGCCAAGUCAUAUAGUUUGUAAGUUCACAUAUCACAUAGUUUUAGCGAUCAUGAUUGUAGUUUAGAUUCCUAUAUCUGAGAUAUUUUAUACAUUUUUCAAAUACUCCAUCCAUGUUUUCACAUAGUCAUUUUUAUCUUUAAUAGGGUUCUGUAUGCCUUGUAAUAAGCAACCACCUUAUAAUUAUCAUUUACAUCCUAUUCAAGACUUAGAAUAUAGGUAUAUCAUAUUUCCUUAUUCAACUUCUAACCCACACGAAAAUUUUAUAGUGUAUCUUAUAUUUCGAAGGUAAUUUCAACCUGUAUGGUUAUCCCUUGUUGUUCUCAUGAUUUAAAGCUCCCUUUUUUGAUACACUAGUACAUCAAUUAUUCUUGUUUCUUCCUAUGUUGUUCAAACAGCCUUUUGAGAUUUAAAUACUUCGAACUUGACUUAACACCUGUUAUUUUUUGUUCUUUAUACAUAGCUCAAGUGCACAAGAGAAUUUACAAGUGCCUUUCAUGUUUCGGGGUAAUCACAAUUUUAUUGGGUAACUUAUAGAUCUUAUAACCUUUUGUAGCUUUAUAUUUUUUGUAUACAAAAGAGUAACAUUCUUGUCUUUCUUCUCUAUGUCAAAACAGCUUCCUUUUUGCUUAGGUACAUCAAACAGCCCUCUUUAUUGCAUAACAGUGCUCACUUGACCAGCCAUGUGGGCAGCCAAGCUUUGCUUGGCCCUGUGGGGCUUUAAUAAGCUUGGUGUGGCCUAGGCUGGCCUCGCUACCCCAAGCACAUGAGUCUAAGAGUCCCCAAACUCACCAUGUUCCUCCUUUACUAACUUUUGUCUAGAAAAUUUCUAAUGUACUAUGUGACACUUUUAAAUACUUGCUUACUUAAACAAGUAAAAAUUAAACUCUAUUUAAUUCUUCAAUUUGCAUUUCUAAUCCAAACUGUGUUGCCUAUAUCUGUUAUAGUAGCUCAUUGUGGCUGCUUAUUAUUGCCUUAUAGCAACAACCCCUAGUUUGUAAAAAAUUCCAAUUUCCAGGGUACUAAUUUAGUUGUAAAAGACUUUAGAUAAUUGUAAAUGAUAUCAUUACAUAGUAUGUUUAACCCAUGAACUGCAACAAUUUAUAAUAUAUAGCAGUCAAGAUAACUAUCAAAACAGCCCUUUAAGGCUUUAACAAUCCCUUUCUACAUUCUUUUAUGUUUUGGAAUAUUCACAACUUGAUUGAGCAGUUUAUAACCUCUAUCAAUACUUGUAGAAUUAUUAUAGAAUGCUAAAUAUCAACCAUUCCUUUGGUUUCUUUUUAAUGCCAAAACAGUCACAAUUUAAUUCAUUGGGUGGCACUUAAGCUUUGUGUGGCCACACUUGGCCUCAUGGCCCUAUUCGAACCUAGUAGUCAUAUCAUUGGCUCAAUAGCCCCAAGUACAAUAUAACUACUAAGUUAUUUAUAUAGGAUUGUAACUAUAUCAUUACUUCCCUAUGCAUACUUUUUUUUUGGCAAUUAGUUAAUUUCUCAAAUUACAUUUUUAGUUUAAGCUAGACUGCCCAAAACCACUUUAACAACAGCUCAAAGCUGCAGCUUUCAUGCCAACUGUUGCUGUCUAAAGGCAGCAGCUGCACUUGUUUUUAUUUCUCGCUUGAUCUCCCCAUAAUCUUGGUUCACUUGCACUUCACUUGAAUAUUACACAACUAAUAUAUUCAAUUAUUAGGGUAACUUAAAUUUAUAGCGAAACUAUAUCCUAACCCUUAUCUUCCAAACCCUUAUCUUCCAUUUCUCUAGCUUUUAAUUUGCAAUUUAAUCAUUUUAGUGUUAAAAGGCCUUGGAGUUUUAUAUAGGUAAUAUAUUCACCUAUUUAGAAAUAUACAUACUAAUUGGUCUAGUUCCUUUAAUGCAUUGUCUGAGAACUCAAGAGAUUCCCCAGCCCAUGCCAACUGCAACUGCCUAAAGGUAGUAGUCCACUUCUCUUUCCCCCUUGUCUUUAAAAUUUUACUAUCUUAUAAUAGUACCACCACCUUUGACCUGCUAUACUUGGUACACUCACCUUAGGAAAUAACACAUAAUUAGCAUGCCAAACUGUGUGUCGGCUCUGCAGCGCAGCGCAGCACAGCGCUGGGAGCUGGCUGUUGUUGCCAGCAGUAGCUCGGCAGUUACUUAACAUAUACCAUUCUCCCUUUUUUGCUGUACUUUUAAGUUUAUGAUAUGCAAUCUGGUUUAGGCCCAAGUCCUGGAAUAGUGUAGUGACCAUGACUACUUACUAAGGUGAUGACUUGGACUACCAAAUAGAAUUCAUUUUGCUACCAAAUUAAUGAUAACAAGAAUAGCUUGUCACAUUGAUUCUUUAGUUUAUGUUUUGGAUUAAACUAACUUUUCAUUACUCAAACACUUUGAUUAACCAUACAUGUGUUAACUAAAUCAGGUUCAAUAGCUUUCCAACCUUGACAAAUAAUAGGAACAAUGUAUUUACAUAGUAUGUGUAAAAAUACCAACCCAAAUUGGGUUCUUAAAUACAUAAUUUCUCUGUUUCCACAGAUUCCUUUAGCAUUCAAGGUUCAUCCCUUGCUUUUAUAACCACUUGGAUUUAUUCACUCAUCUUAGCUAACCACAUAAAACACAUAUAAUUAUUGCACUUUUAUUAUCAAACAACUAAAAUAUUGAACAUACCAUUAAAGUUUAGUUUUACCGAACAUACCAUUAAAGCUACCAUAGAAGAGACAUUCACUUAAUAUUGAGGUAUAUUAGUUGGGCAAGUUUGGUUAGUUCAAAUGGGCUGACCGAGAGCCAAGGAAGCCCCCAGUCAUUGAUUGUCAUGGUGACUGCUGUUGUCGUGGGCAAUAGCCUUGCUCUAGACACUUUACAAUCUAACAACUUUUGAUUCAUUCGUCAUACAAUAUCAUAUUUUUAGAGUAUAUUUUACAUUGCAUACAAGACUACAUUUAUAGAUUAUAAACUACCUACUUUGGAAUCUUCAAGUUACCCAAAACAGUGCCCAAAAUUACUUGGCAAAUUGGAUUCCCAACUUUUCAUUUGGCUUAACAUCAUUUUCUUUUCAGUUUAACUUACUUAAAUCUCUUUAUUAACUGAAUAAAGUGUUCCACAUACAACCUUUGCUUUGGCUUCUACUCUUUCUUCGAUUUUAAUCACAACAGUCCAUUGAGGACUUUUGACAAACACCCUACGUGCACUGUUGUAAGACCCCAAAUUUUAUGAAUAAAGAUUUAAUUUCUCAAAAUAUUUUCUUUAAUAUAAGGUGUGAAUUUGAUAUAAUGUUAUAGUUGUGAGUUAUAUUUACAAAAUUUGCAAAGUAAGCAAGUUGACAUAAAAUAUUCGAUUGGUCGGGGAAUAUUCGUUUUAACAAGGAAUAUUCGUACGACGUCACAAUACAACCGCACAAUCAUUGGUGGACCCCACAACAAAAUUACUGUCGGAGUUAAAAAACGACAGAAAUAUCUUUUUAUAAAAAUAAAGGCGAAAGUUUUACCGUUGACUGUUGAAAUACCCGGUAAUAAAAGUAUAGUAAUACGCGUGGUUGCAUAGUAGCACACGGUAUUGAUUAUUGAUGCUUACGUGAGAAGUCACUCAGUUAUACUCAAUUAUUGCUACAGUAAUUGCUGCAUAAUAUCUCACAUUAUUGAUUAUAUUAUUGUCACAGUAUCAUCUGCACAAUAUUUUAUAUUAUUAAAUUAAUAAUUAAGAUGACAAGUUAUUUAUAUUAUUAUUUGCAUUAUUGACAAUGUCUAGAAAGUUCUGUCGACCACCUAAUUGUGCACCAAUAGGGAGAAAUCCUUAUCAGAAAAUCCCCUCUUUCUUGGAAAUGAUCUGGUUAUUAAUAUUGCAAGUUAUACUAUUGAUGAAUAAAUGUUGUUAAAAAUAUUGAGGGGAUUUUUAUGAAGUAUUUGUUGUAAGUUUGGUGUAUUAUAUGGAUUCCCACUUACCCAUUUUUCAAAAUUAUCGAAGAAAGUUAUCUCAUUUUUGUUUUAUAUAUAUAUAUAUAUAUAUAUAUAUAUAUAUAUAUAUUAAUAAGUUUUGUUUUUUUUAUGAAAAAUAGAAUAUAUUAUAUUUUAUUAUGCAUAGUAUCUGCAUAGUGUUUGCAUAGUAAAUCAGAAAAAAAUUUCAGCCGAUUGAAUUCGCCUGUGAACUUCCCCACUUUGCAGUCCGUGAAUUUUUCUAAAUAGUAUCCUUCCAUUCUCCUAUAAAUAGGAUGCUCAGUUUAGAAAUAAAAAUCACACCAAAAUCGGAGAAUUCUUCUUCUAAAAUAUUGAGCGUAUUUCUUUUGAGUUUAAGGAAGUUUUGAGUGUAGAAACUAGUGGAAGUUUUCUUCAAGAAUAUAUCCGUUAUACCAGUCGAAAUUGCUCUCUUUUUGUUGUAUGUGGUAUUAUUUAUUUCAUAUUCGCUUAUGAUAUUAUUUUUAGUAUUCGUAAGAAAUUUUAUUUCGUUCAAUAUUCGCAAGAAAUAUUAUCUUCGUUUAAUAUUCGUAAGGAAUAUUAUAUUCACUUAAUAUUCUUAAAGAAUAUUAUUUUCGUUCAACAGUUGUAAGAGAUAUUAUUUUUGUUCAAUAUUAGUAAGAAAUAAUAUUUUCUUCUAUACUAUGUAGUACGUAAGUAAUAUUAUUUCGUUUCAGAUUCUGAAUUUUACACUUAUUUUGUUAAGUAUUGCUUCUAUACUCCUUGAAAUUAGUAGAAUAUCCUUGAAAUUUGCGCUUCAUCUAGUAUCGUUUCAUAAGGAUAUUUUUCUGAACAUUCUUGUUCAUUUUUAAGCUUUUCAUGCCAGAGUACUAUUCAUGGGUACUAUUCAUGUAUACGACACUAUUCAUACGUACGGGUACUAUUCACGGGGUACUAUUCAUGGAGUACUAUUCACUCCGGUACUAUUCACCCGGGGUACUAUUCAUGACAGAAGUUGAUUUCUUUUUUGUCCAAAUUAUUUUUGAUACAAUAUUAUUCUUGAAUUUUACUCCACAAAUGAGUAUCAUGUUGACAAUUUAGAUAUUUUUAAACUCUGGAUAAAUUUAAAGUCUUUAAUAUUUGUCUUUAAUUUCGUUUGAUUAAUGCUUAUAUCAUUGUCAUCAUCCUCAUGCUUAUAUAGUGAUAAAAGUCAUCUUUGGCCCGUUGUGCAUAGAUGGAUUGUUGAUUGGUAUGAUUAUGACCAGGGAUUAUUCAGUAUAAUCAUGACCUGUAAUGUUACAAGUGAUGUGGAUUAUUUAUUGAGCUGAGUCUCAACGACAGUUGUUGGUAUGAUCAUGACCAUGGGUUUUCUUCGGCCAAGGGUGUAAAGAUGAAUUGUUGUUUGGCAUGAUCAUUACCAUUGGUGAAAACACGAAUAUCCUUGACCUGUAGUGCAUGGAUAAUUUAUGAUUGUGAUAUUAAUGAAUAUCCUUAGCCCAUAGUGCAUGGAUAAUUCAGUGAUGUGGAUUAUUUAUUAAGCUGAGUCUCAGCGAUAAAAUUGAUGAUAAACUUUUAAAUCAUAAAAGAUAGUAUAUAUCAUGCUCUACUUGACUCUUCUAAUGGAUUUUUAUUUUCGCUGCUUGAUCAAAAACUUAUUGUCUAUUGUAUUCUAUCAGUUGUUACACUGUUGAAGGCUAACGAUAAUUUAUUCUGCAUUAUCUUAGUCCUAAUAUUUCUUAAUGGGCUAGUUGAGUUCACCCUUUUCUUUCACUAUUCUCUUCAGGAAAUGAGAAUAUAGCUGGGACUAGUUGGGGAAUGGAUUGACGGUCCAGAUGGUUGCUUUAGUAGUCCUCACUAUUCUGUGAAAUAAUAUGAUAAUAAUUGUAAUGAGGACUCCGUUUGAGUUUGGAUACUGUCUGGAAGAUAAUAUUCGUGUUAAAACUCUCAGCUUAUGUUAAACGACAGUUGUAUAAUUAAGUUUGUAUAUAUAUUUUGUACCAUGUAUUUGGCGACUCAAAAUGGGUGAUGUAUAUCUAUUUUCGGGGCGUCACAACUGUUCUGUUUCACAGGUUUCAUAGCUAUUUACUUACUCUUCAAAUCCAUUAAGUCACCUUAUAACACCACAACCAACCUAUCUCCUUGUGCCUAAACCAAGCAAUAACAGUAAAUUAACUUAAUAAGAGUCAAGCCUAACAGUUAUCAUAGCAACAAUAUCCAUAUGGCAGUCAUUAAUUCUAUUUCAAUCCCUCGGACCAUUACAGUCCAUUAGUAGCUCGGAAAUGGAAUGGAAAGGAUUGGAGAGCUUACCUUAAUAGUUCAGAGGUUGUAAUAAGUUGCUGUUCGAUUUCUUCUCCUUCUCUCUAUGCGUGUUUCAGUUUUGAAGCUCAUUUGAUAGUAUAUCAACUGAGUUUGAGGUUCUUUGUAUGGCUAUAUGUAGCUAAGAAAGAAAGGGGUAGCCAUUAUGGCAAUACUUAGCUGUUAUUACAUUACUCUGACAGCCUAAGUCAGUUGUCCCUGCUCAGUUCAUGCACUCCCUCUUGGCUCCUAUGCAGUCUCUUUAUCUGGCCCCUAACUUGCAACCUAUAUUUGCCUCUAUAAGGCUCAUGGUAGCCUACCUUUGUUAGCAGCUACUUUGACCCCUAUUUUUACCUGACAUACUGGCUUAUACAAUGAUUUUGUGACAAAUGAGAUUUUGUAAUUUUAUUUGAAUAGUUAUUGAAAUAAAUAAAUAUUUUUUGAUGAUUUAUUUAUUAGAUUAAAUAAUUAAUUGAUGAAAUUUUGGUAGAUUAAUUUAAUUAUGUGUUAUAUUUAUUAAAUUCAUGUGGAGAAUUUUUAUUAUUCAAAGUAUGUAUUUAUGUGAGCGUAUUGAAUUAAAUGAAAUAUUUAAUAAGCAUAAUGCUAUUUUAAUUAAUGUAAUAAUUAAUUAGAGAAUUAAUAAUUUGACAUAAUUAAUAAAUGACAAAAUUAAUUAUGUAACUAUGUGAGUUAAUGAGAAAUUAUUAUAUUUUAUUUAAAUUAAAUUAAAUAAGAUAUUUGAUUUAUUGUGUAAUUGGGUGUGACAUUAGUAAACUAUACUAUAAAGGAUUAAUUAAAUUAAAUGGGAAAAUCUUCUAAUAAGUUAGCCAAACAAGGCCUUAGUGGAGGUUGAGAGCAGUUAACCCAUGAUUGAGUAACUGAUCACCACCAUGCUAGUUCCUAUAUGCACCAGGCUUAUUAAUCUUUCACGUAUGUUAAUUUUUAAAUAAAACUUGAGAGCUCAGAGAGAAUUCAGAGGAAUUUUGUGAGAAACUUUGUGAUUGAAGAAGUAUCUGAGAAAGAUUUCAUCUCCUAUUAAUCUACCCUGGGUAAUCUCUUCAACCCAACUUUAAAUUCACGUUGUUUAUACCUUCUAUGAAAAUUUCUAUAAGUCUCUGUAAUUGAAAAAGUAAUGACUUAUGUGUUUAUAUAUGAUAUAUAUAUAUAAUCAUAAUAUGUUUUAUUACCAUAUAUGUAUGUUCUCAUAACAUCAAUUGCAUACAAAUAUGUUGUAAAUAGAUUUGUGAAGUUACUGAGUAUAAGUUUCAUAUGUAUGGCCCUUAUGGGAAUUGGUAUGCUACGAAUUGUUGUUUAACUUGAAAUUUAACGGUAGAUUAUGUUAUCACAUGUCAAAAUGAAGAAAAUAAACUUUGAAUGAACUGAUUUAGUGUUAUAACGAACCCGUAGUGCCAAUCUUCAAGCUUUGUUUUCAAAACUUUCAAGAACAUCAAGAACAGUGAUAUUAUAUAAUUUGAUUCAAGUAAUUUAUGUGUUUAAACUUGUUAAAAUCACUCUGUAAAGUUGGGUAAUGAUUAUGUACGAAUUCUAGUAUAUGGGUAUGUUUAAUUUAAUGUAUUUAAUGAUCAUGUAAUGAUAAUUUUGCCUUACUCUGUGUUCUUCGCGAACUGGAAAUUCAAAAACUGGAGUUUCGCUCCGCGACGCCAACUCUAUGCCUUAAGUCCCGCGCUGCAGCGCCACUGUGCCGCAGCGCUAAGAACAAACUUGCUAGUGGCGCCACAACGCCACUUUGCAGAUUGCUCAGAAAUGAAAUUUUUUUGAUUAUUCAUGUCCAGGAAUGUAAUAAUAACCUAAUCUAAUGAACAUAAAAUGUGGUAAACAUAUAAUGAGAUGUUAACAUAGGUUCUUAACAUGUCGAUAAGGCAUUUACAUGUUGAUUGAAUUUUUGAACGUAUAGUUAGCCUAUUAUUAGUGUAGUGUGAUAUUACGUGAAAAUAAGCGUGGUAAUUGACUAAGUAUAGUCAUAACCAGAAUUUAGACAAAAAGAAUGAACGUGUGAUAACUAGUUAUGUUAUAAUUGACUGGUAUUGUGAAUGUAAAUGGUAUGUAGGAUUAAAUCAAGGAGUGUGUAUAAUUAAUGUGUAAUCUACGCACAAGGCAAGUUUCCUAACCCUAUUUGUUAUGGUUAUUCAAGUUUAUGAACUUACAUCGAACAAAUCCUCGUUAUUAUUAAUCAAGUUCGAAUUGUUAUAUUAAAGGUUAUUAAUCUUUCAAAGUAUGAUUCUGUUAUACAAUACUUAUUCUGUUGUAUACCUCUUGAGUUUGUUAUUCAAUUUAAAUAUCAGUUAUUGUUGAACAUUGUAAGAGUAGUGAACUUUUAUUGAUUCGACUAGUCCAUAGUUGAUGAACGUUUUAAAUUUUAGAACCCUUGUUGAAUUAUCUAAACCAAACUUCCUUUGGUGCAGACUCUAAUGUUAAACUGAGAUGAACAACCCUGUAUAGGGGAUUAUUUACGCUUUAACGUUAAGAUAUUAUGCACAGUAUGGUACUAAGGGCUGACCCCCCUAAGUACGAGAAGAAGAGUCCAUAGUCUUAUGACUGUUAAAGGUUUCAAGUAUAAACACUUGACAACCUAGGACAUAGUUCAAGGUCUUAUGACCCUCAGAAGUUCUUUUGAUUCUUGUUAUUCAUUCUUGAUUUAAAAGCCGAGUUUUCUUAUUUCAAAAAUCUUUGAUUCAUUCGCAUGUUAUUAUUUUAUUAUUAUAUUGUUAUACUUGUGGGCAAUCGUGCUCACUCUUGCAUAAUAAUAACAUUACAAUUAAGAACGAAAGGUCCGACGAGCCUUCUACUAGCAAAGCCAAGGGAAAAGUUAACAAGUGAUGAAGACUUGUUGUUUAUGUGAUGUAUUCAUGUUUUAGACUCAUGUUAAAGUUGUGUAAGACUUAUUAUUUAUUUAUGUUUUCGCAUAGAUGUUUAAGGUUAGUUGACCUGGGAUUGUAUAUGUUGUUCAGAUGUUGUAACCCCAUAAGGGGAGGAUUUAUUUCUAUCUAUUGCAUGAGUUACAUUUAUUAUGGGUAGAUAGACAUAUGAUAAUUGUACAAUGAACACCAAAUCCAGUGGAAAUGAAGUACCUGGAUUUGGGGGUGUCACAGAUUUAGCCUCCCAACAGUUAGCUUAGGUAUUCUAGAGGUCAACCGACCUGCUAACUAACUGUCAAUUUGAGUUAGCUGUAAAUUGAAGCCAACUAACUGAUCUAUGAAACUCAACUACACAACUCACUUUUUCUUUACUAAGGAUUGCCGGAUUGGGCUUGUGAAAAGGCUGGGUAUUGCUUUAAUUUGGGCCCAAAAUCUUAAAAUCAAUGUAACACAUUUGCAAGCAUACUUAGCAAAAUUUAGUAUGGCCCAAAUAUUUCAAUAUGGACUCAUAUUAAGUAUAAAACACAUGAAUUUUAUCAACCAUAUUUUUUAGGCUAUCAACAAUGGUUAACACAUAUAUCAUUAAAAUGAUGGUUCUAUGUAGUUUUAAAUAAAUCAUGAUAGUACAUCAUUUCUUUAUUUGUUAUUAAAUAACACUUUUUUUUAUCUUAAUAUAAUUAACUCUUUAAACACAUAGAUAGCUUCAUGUCAAGAAUCUUUCUCAAUUAAGCCAUCUUGGCUUUCCUUAUCAUUCUUGAUAUUUAUUUAACAUUAUAUUAAUGUAUAUUAUUCCUCCCCUCCUUUACCAUAGAAAGUCUUGAGAAAUAUAUAUAUAAGUUAAUAAACAAUAAAUAAAUUAAUGCCACUUCAAUUAGGUAUAUAAUAAUAAUAAUAAAAUUAUACCCAAAAUUUGACAUUAUAAUAACUGAAUAUUACAUAAGAUUUUCUGAGUCAUUAUAGUACUAUUCAUACGGUACUAUUCAUGAGUACUGUUCACAACAGAAUUUAAUUUAUUUUCUUUAUCUACGUUAUCUUUUAUGAAUCUUAUUCUUGAAGUUGAAUUCAUGUUAUGAUCUCACUUGAUUCAUUCUUUAUGUCAUUAUCAUAAAUAUUGUCAGACUUAAAUUAUGUUGAAAGUUAUCUUUGGCCCAUAGUGCAAAGAUGAACUGUUGAUUGAUGAAUAUCUUUAGCCCAUAGUUCAAAGAUGAAUUGUUGAUCGAUAUCUUUGGCUCAUACUGCAAAGAUGAACAGUUGAUCGAUAUCUUUGGCCCGUAGUGCAAAGAUGAAUAGGUGUUUGGCAUGAUCAUGAGCACUGGUGAUAUAAACAAUUAUCUUUGGCCCGUAGUGCAUUGAUAAUUCGUUGAUUGGAAAUAAUUAUUGAUUGAUGUUAAAUAGAUAAAAUAUUGAUGAUGGACUUUUAAAUCAUGGAAGAUACACUACAAGAAAAAAGCUUAAGUCCGAUGGAAUACUCCGUCGGACAUAGGCCUAUUCAGUCGAAAAUAUAUUAUUUCCGAUGAAAAUAUCCGUCAGAUAUUCGGUCGUAAAUAUUCGCGUCGAAAAUAAGAUCCGUCAAAAAUUCCGUCGGAUAUUCAUUAUCCUCGACGAACGUAUCUCCGACGGAUGUUCGUCGAACAUGAACUAUCUUCGACAGAAUAUAUAGGAUGAAACUUUUCGUCGAAUAUACCAAUACCUAUUUCUGACGGACUUAUUCCCUCGACCUUAUACUAUUUCCCACUGAAAAAUAAAAUAAUCAGAUAUUUAUUAAAAUUUUCUAUUUAUUAACUUCGACGGAAUUUACGUCGGACAUAUCAUUGUUACGAUGGAUAUAGUCCGUCGAAGUUAACGUAUGUUCGACUGAAAAUUAGGACAUUUCGGCAUUUAUUAAAAAUUGAUUAUUUGUUAACUCCGAGGGAAGUUCCGUCGAGCAUACCCUAUUCCGUCAGAAUUAACUAAUUUUUUUUUUUAAAUGCAGAUUUUAAAAGUUCAGUUUCUAGGUGUUUAAACCCAUUAAUGUACCUAUAAUCUGUCACAACCCAAUACACAGUAAUAUAAACCUGUAUAUCACAUUCAAAUAUGUAAUGUAGCACUAAAAUGUAAUCUUUAACUCAUUAUCAUUCACAUUCACAUUCAAAUAUCCACCAAAACGUAUUAUAAGCUAACCAAUUACAAAUAUAAGCUAAUGUUCCAUAAAUGUUAAACAAUAUAAUUUACAAUACUUGUACAGACACAAUUAGACAAUACAAUAUAUAUAAAAGUUCUAGAAUAACAUGAAUAUAUACAAAUGAACUAUAAACUAGUAAAAGUAUCAUCAUCGGGCGGAGGUGAACGACGCUGCUCUGGUGUAUGGAAAUCAGCGUCGUGCUCAUGCUCAUCAUCGCCAGCCUGCUCGCCAUCGCCACCCUGUUGAUAGAAUCAAAAAUAUAAAUCAUUAGUCCGUAUAUAUAUAUAUGUGAGAAUUAACAAACUAGCCUUAAUUGAAAAACAUAAACAAUAAGAAUACCUAAGUAGGUGGGGGCGGACGAAAAGCCUCCUCCAAGAAGGUAAUCACCAUCUGGAGCAUCUUGGCGCUCUAAGCGUCGAACUGCUCCCGUGGUAAUCCCGUACUCUCUGCAGAGGCCCCUGCUAUAAUAUCCUGAGCAAUCUAGUGAAGACGAGAACUGGAAGGCAACUGCUGACGUCGAUAGACCCGCUACAACAAAAAGGCUUAUUUACGACGGAAUAUUCGGUCGGCACUAAGCUUAUUCCGUCGAGGGUAACCUCAUCUCCGACGGAAUAUUCGGUCAGAAAUUCGGUCGUAUAUAAGCACGUGAAAAAUAAGUCCGUUGAUUCUUCGGUCGGGAAUACUUACUGUCGACGGAACUAUUGUCGACCGAAUAUUCAGUCGGCGUUAAUAUAUCCCCGACUGAAAUGUGUCUGUCGAGGAUAUUCGGUCGAUCCUAAGCAUGCCACUUGGCAGCCUGGCAAAAAAGGAAAAUCAUCUUACGUGCGACGGACUUCCGUCGACUCUAUAAUUCGUCCGUCGAGGUUAUUCGGUCGAGGCUAUGUAUGCCACGUGGCAAUAUACCGAAAAUGAGAAGAACCUUAACCUCGACGGUUAUCCGUCGAUAAUAACAUUAUUCCGUCGAGGUUACUGUUUUUUUUUUAAAUAAUUUUUUUGUUUUUGCAAUAUCCAGGGAGUUAACCCACAUCUUGUACCUGUACCUGUACCUGAACCUGUUUUUCCAACAUCACAUACACAAGCUAAAUUAAGCUAAAUGUCAAAAACAUCCCAUUACUACUAGCAUAACCGCAACAAACCAAAGUAAUGAAAUGUAAAGCCGCAUUAAUCAAAGUAAAUUAAACUAAGGUAAAUUACAAAAGAUCCCAUUAAUCUAAACUAACUACAACAAACAUCCCAUUAAGCAAAAUUAAGCUAAGUGUCAAACCGCAACAAAACCAAAGUAAUUAAUGAUAAGGUACUUUAAACUACAAUAUGUACGUCAAAAGUUAUGUAAAAUUAAUAUAAAAGAAUUUAAACUACAAAAGAAUGUAAACUAAGUAAAGCUAGUAGAGCCCUCGGUGUGAGAAGGAUCAUCGGGCGGGCGUCGACACUGCUCUGGAGUAUGAAAAUCGUCAUCCCGCUCGUCAGUCCGCUCGUCACCCUGUUGAUACAAUAUAAUGUAACUCAUUAGUCCAUAUAUAUGAUUCAGUUAAAGAUAACUAAAUGAAAAUUAAAUAANNNNNNNNNNNNNNNNNNNNNNNNNNNNNNNNNNNNNNNNNNNNNNNNNNNNNNNNNNNNNNNNNNNNNNNNNNNNNNNNNNNNNNNNNNNNNNNNNNNNNNNNNNNNNNNNNNNNNNNNNNNNNNNNNNNNNNNNNNNNNNNNNNNNNNNNNNNNNNNNNNNNNNNNNNNNNNNNNNNNNNNNNNNNNNNNNNNNNNNNNNNNNNNNNNNNNNNNNNNNNNNNNNNNNNNNNNNNNNNNNNNNNNNNNNNNNNNNNNNNNNNNNNNNNNNNNNNNNNNNNNNNNNNNNNNNNNNNNNNNNNNNNNNNNNNNNNNNNNNNNNNNNNNNNNNNNNNNNNNNNNNNNNNNNNNNNNNNNNNNNNNNNNNNNNNNNNNNNNNNNNNNNNNNNNNNNNNNNNNNNNNNNNNNNNNNNNNNNNNNNNNNNNNNNNNNNNNNNNNNNNNNNNNNNNNNNNNNNNNNNNNNNNNNNNNNNNNNNNNNNNNNNNNNNNNNNNNNNNNNNNNNNNNNNNNNNNNNNNNNNNNNNNNNNNNNNNNNNNNNNNNNNNNNNNNNNNNNNNNNNNNNNNNNNNNNNNNNNNNNNNNNNNNNNNNNNNNNNNNNNNNNNNNNNGGGUGCAGGGUGGGGGGACCGGUGGAGAUUGAGGUGAUUAGCCGGUGGAGAUCGAUCGAGGGAGUUGGGAGCUUAUGAGAGAGAGAGAGACGUAGUCUAGAGAAAUAGAGAGGGAAAUGUAAAAAUAGAGAGGGAAAUGAAAAUGAGAGGAAGCAGGGAAGGCGAAGGGUUUUUUUAUGUUUAUUUCUGAUGGAAGUCCAUCGCGGUUGUGUCAGUCGACGUUAUGAUAACAUCGACGAAUUAUUCAGUCGAGGAUGACACAUAUUCGGUCGACUAUAUAUUCGCGCUGGCGGGAAACCCUCGCACCAAGGAGAAGAUCUUAAAGCUGACUGAUGUCAGUCGAGGAUACAUUAAUUCCAACUGAAUUACUUUCGACUAAAUAUUCGGUCAGUCUUAUAUUAACAUCGACUGAAUAUGUUUAGUCGACAAUAAUUCCGUCGGAAAUAAAGCUUUUUCUUGUAGUGACCGGAUCAGUACAGAACUUAUCCGACAUGGCCCCUAUCAGCCGCCGGAAGAUAUCGUCAUCCAAGCCAGCACCCGUAUGUGAUGGUCCGACAUGUGCUCUCGGACGCUGGUGCUGACUGGAGCCUAUAAAGAUAUACAAAUUUGAUUACUAAUAAUAAUUUAUAUAAUAUGAUAAAUUCGGAUAAUUUCGUGAAACAUAAAAAAAUAUUACCUCUAGGAAGUGUAUAUACGGGUAUCCUCGGCAGACCCAACACUCGAUAUCUGCCGGUACUGCUAGUAGGGGGAUCCUGAGACGCGACCCAUAGUCUCAGCUCCUCAUCCCGAUCUAAUACAAUAUCGAGAAGAGGGGUGGCGGAAUCUAACGGCUCAGAACUCCUCCUAAUAGUCUCCAGUUCAGCUAUACGCUCGUCCCGAAGCCUCUGAAAUCGGUCCUGUAAUGUAUUCUGUAUAUGUAUGUUAAUUAUAUCAUUUUAUUUAUGAUUGAAUAUUAUUAAAAGCUAAAUAGUAAGAUGAGUUAUACCCGUAUAGCUAAAGUUGCCUGAGACAAAGACGCUCGUCCUUAGGCAUGUGAGCUCGAUCCCAAAGCUCUAGAAUGGUAGGAUCUCGGCCCAAGGUCCUCCCCAAUGCCUAAUAAAAACAUUCAUAAAACAGGUCUUAAGUAUUUGUGUGAAAACUUGACACAUAAAUAACUAAAUACAACGCACUUACCGUCUUCGCCUCCUCGAACGACUGAGAACCAGUGGUGUGUACUAUCCGUAUGAUUGACCUUGAAUAUUUUCAAUCACUUUUGAUUCCCCGUGAUGAGUCCAUACGAAGUACCCAUCCACAAAUCCACGAGAAAAUAAGUCCAAUUUAAUCUCGUCGACUUUCUUCCAAAUUAGAUUUUUACACUUGACACACGGGCAUCGUAUCUUCCCGUUCGGAUCAUCCGUAUGUAGUGCUUUGUUCAAGAAAUCUAAAACCCCAACACGAUAAGCUGAGACUAAUCCCCUCCCAUCACUGGGUAUCCUACGGUACAUCCAACUCCGGUCGGCUGACAUUUUUAACUACACAGAAGUACGCAUUAAGUUAAUUUGGAUAUUCAUGCGUGAAUUAGAUUUACCUAGUAUCUCUACAGGACAGGGGUAAGGCUUCUAUCCCGUUAUUGAAUGCGUCUCGUCACUAGUGCAAACACGUUGAGUACGUUUCAUGAGUUUCAAGAAAAUUUCGGCAGCACCUCCCCAUGGUCUCCAAGCACACGAAAUAGACUAAGAUAACUUAAUCUAAGUAUGCACUCAGAGAACAUAUAGAGAUAACAGUCGAUUAGUCCUCAAAAUAACAAGAAAUGUAUCGUUUCGUAUUUGUACCGGCCUAAGUGAGAGACAUAACAUCCAAUAACAGUCCCAAACUGGGGACUGCUCGACAAUCACCCCUAUUGAGUGUAUGUCAAACGGGUUUCUAAGUUUCAAAGUAUAGUACAUAUAUAAUUGAAAAUGCUACUUAGUUUAUUAAAAAUUGUGGCAAACUACACAAAUGCUACUUAGUUUAUGAGAAUUGUUAUGUGGAAUCUCUACUUGAGUCGGCAACCGGGAAAAAAAAAAGUUCGUAGUUCCUGUUAUGUCUUAUACUCGAAUAAUAAAGUUAAUUCAAUUACUGCAAACAUUCCUCACUGUUCCAUCAUAGCAGAUGACAACAUCCCGAAGGAGUUCCAUUAAGCUAUUGAACAAGGUUUUAGCUUAAACAACCCUCUAGAUGAACGAACGAUCACUUCUCUGCUAGGAAUGAAUCAUCUCCCCAAAUGGGUCCAAUCCAUGAUAUAGACAGCUUCUCACCACUCCGAAUUCCUCAAAUAGAUAGUUCUCAUACAAAAGGUGAGACGUUCUGUGAGAACUACCCAUCUGAGGAAUUCGAAGUGGUGAGAAACUGUUUAUAUCAUGGAUUGGACCCAUAUGGGGAGAUGAUUCAAUCCUAUGAGAGAAGUGAUUGUUCGCUCAUCUAGAGGGUUGCUUAACCUAGAACUUUGUUCAACAACUUAUUGGCACUUCUUCCGGAUGUUGCCAUCUAUUAUGAUGGAACAGUGAGGAAUGUCUGCAGUAAUUCAAUUACCUUUAUUAUUUGAGUAUAGGACACAAACAAGAAAUACAACCCCUUUUUUUUAAUUGUUGCCGAGGAACCGAUUGGAGAACUAUUAGCUGCAACUGCUAUGUCAAAACCUGCAUACAAGAAAGAGUACAUAUAUGUAGGGAGAAUAUUAUUGCAUUUAUAUAUUGAAAAUUGUGGCAAACUAAACAAAUGCUACUUAGUUUAUUUUGCCAAUGGUAAACUAAGUAAGUGGUACUUAGUUUAUGAGAAUUGUUAUUUGGAAUCUAUAGAGUUUACUGUUCGACAUUCACUCCUAGCUACUUAGUUUAUUUUGCCAAUGAUAAACUAAGUAAGUGGUACUUAGUUUAUGAGAAUUGUUAUUUGGAAUUUAUAGAGACUACUACUGUUUGACAUUUACUCCUAGCUACUUAAUUUAUUUUGCCAAUUAAUGAUAAACUAAGUAAGUGGUACUUAGUUUAUGAGAAUUGUUAUUUGGAAUCUAUAGAGACUACUGUUCGACAUUCACUCCUACUUAGUUUAUUUUGCCAAUGAUAAACUAAGUAAGUGGUACUUAGUUUAUGAGAAUUGUUAUUUGGAAUCUAUAGAGACUACUGUUCGACAUUCACUCCUACUUAGUUUAUUUUGCCAAUGAUAAACUAAGUAAGUGGUACUUAGUUUAUGAGAAUUGUUAUUUGGAAUCUAUAGAGACUACUGUUGUUCGACAUUCACUCCUAGCUACUUAAUUUAUUUUGCCAAUUAAUGAUAAACUAAGUAAGUGGUACUUAGUUUAUGAGAAUUGUUAUUUGGAAUCUAUAGAGACUACGUACUGUUCAACAUUCACUCCUACUUGUCAAACGAGUUUCUAAUUAAAUUCCAUAAGUAUAUUAUUUUACUUAAUCGAAAACAUUCUUAUUCAAUUUCUUUUGUAGUAUAUUAUAUUAUAGUAUAUAAUUGGUUUAUUUAUUUAUUAAAUUUAAUUUAUCUUGUAUUAUAUUAUAUAGUUUUUAAAUUUUUUUACUAAUUUCGUUAUUAAAUUUAAUUUAAAUUAUUUUAAUUAAAUUAAAUUAAAUUAUAUUUUAUUCUAAUUUUAUUCUAUUAUUUUUAUUUUAUUUUAUGUUUUAUUGGAUUGUAUUUUAUUUGUAUUAUAUUAUAUAUUUUAAAAUAUUUUUUAUUAAAUUUUAUUUAUUUAUUAAAUUAAAUUUUAUUUAUUUUUUUCAUUAUAUUUAUUAAAUUUAAAUUAUUAUAAUUUGUUAUUAUUAUUUUGUAUUUUAUUUUAUUUUAUCUUAUUAUUACUCAUAUUAUAUUAUUUUAUUUUAUUUAAUGUAUUUUAUUUAUUUAUUAGAUAUAAUUUAAAUUAUUUCAUUUAGGAACAAUUAUUUUAUUUUAAUUUAAUUAUUUUAUUUUAUUUCAUUUCAUUUUAUCUUAAAUUAUCUUAUCUUAUCUUAUGUUAUUUAAUUUUAUUAUUUUAUAUUAUAUUAUAUUAUCUUAUAUUAUUUUAUUUUAUUUAUAUUUUUAUUAUUUAUAAUAUUAUUUUAUUUUAUUUAGUAGUACAAAACUAAGUAAAUAUUACUACAAACUAGGCUAUUUUAGUUUUGGAAAAUUAAUUAAGUAACAUAUUUAAAUAGUUACAUGGGCCCACAAAAUUUGCAAUUGAAGAAUUCUGACAGAAAUUCAGUCAGAAAUUCCAUCGAAAAUAUCAAAUACACUCAAGUGUAAUAAGUUGUAAUUGCAUAAAGAAAAACAAAUUGAAACAUUUACAUCCUAAUUUGCACAACAGUAGUCAUAACAGUUAGGCAGAACACAAUUUUCGGCAACCCAAUUUUCAUAACAGUUAGGCAAUUAACACAACAGGUAGCCACAAGCAAUAACCCAUUUCGGCAGAACACAAAUAAUAACCCUUAUAUUGACAAUUAACACUUAAGUCCCAAUUUCAGCAAUGAAUCCGAAAUAUAUAUAGUAGCAGUUAUCAUCAAUAUAUAUAUAUAUAUAUAUAUAUAUAUAUAUAUAUAUAGUACCAAUUUCAGUGNNNNNNNNNNNNNNNNNNNNNNNNNNNNNNNNNNNNNNNNNNNNNNNNNNNNNNNNNNNNNNNNNNNNNNNNNNNNNNNNNNNNNNNNNNNNNNNNNNNNNNNNNNNNNNNNNNNNNNNNNNNNNNNNNNNNNNNNNNNNNNNNNNNNNNNNNNNNNNNNNNNNNNNNNNNNNNNNNNNNNNNNNNNNNNNNNNNNNNNNNNNNNNNNNNNNNNNNNNNNNNNNNNNNNNNNNNNNNNNNNNNNNNNNNNNNNNNNNNNNNNNNNNNNNNNNNNNNNNNNNNNNNNNNNNNNNNNNNNNNNNNNNNNNNNNNNNNNNNNNNNNNNNNNNNNNNNNNNNNNNNNNNNNNNNNNNNNNNNNNNNNNNNNNNNNNNNNNNNNNNNNNNNNNNNNNNNNNNNNNNNNNNNNNNNNNNNNNNNNNNNNNNNNNNNNNNNNNNNNNNNNNNNNNNNNNNNNNNNNNNNNNNNNNNNNNNNNNNNNNNGGGGGACCGGCAGUGACCGGAUGGGUGGGGGCGGGGAGGAUGAGAGAGGGAAGGAGAGUACUGGGGGGACUGGUGUGGGGGCGAGGAGGAUGAGAGAGGGAAGGAGAUCGAGUGAGAGAAUGAGAGAGGGUGGGGGCGGGGAGGAUGAGAUCGAGGGAAGAAGAGUGAGAAGAGUGAGAGAUAAACGAGCGUCUGAAAUGAAAAGGACGAAGGUGAAAUGUUUUUAUUUGUUAUCUUCGACGGAAUGUCCGUCGGACAUACGUCUCUCGAAAAUAACUUAAGUUUGACGAAACGUCCCUCGGAAUUAAUGUUUGUUCGUCGAAAUUACUUUUCGCGGUGACGCCAAACUUGGCGCCAACUGGGGAGGUCUAAGAUCGACGGAAUUCCGUCCUAAUUAUUUUAUUUUUGAGGGACUUAUAUCCGACACAUUAUUCCCUCGGAAGUAAUCAUAUUUCGACCGAAUUUAAUCCGUCGAGGAUACGUCCGUCGGAAAUAGGCGAUUUUCUUGUAGUGAUAAUAGACAUCAUGCUCUACUUGACUCUUCUAAUGGAUUGUUGUUUCCGCUGCAGUUGUUGAUCUAAAAUUUGUUGUCUAUUGUAUUCUAUCAUAUUUUUCUUUGUUGAGGACUAAGAAUAAUUUGUUCUACAUUAUUUUAGUCAUAAUAUUCUUUACUGAGCUAGUUGAGCUCACUCUUUUCCUUUUGGUUCCAUUGUUCUUCUGAGGAGGCGAGAAUAUAGUUGGGACUUGUUGGGGUAUGGAGUGAUGGUUCAAGACGGUUAUUAUAGCAGUCCUCACUAUUUUAUAAAAUAGUGUAUCAAUAAUUGUAAUGAGGACUUUAUUUAAGCUUGGAUAUUGUCUACAAGACAAUAUUUGUAUUAAAACUCACAGCAUAUGUGUUGUCGUAUUUUGCACGAGAAUUGUAUUAAUGAAGUUUGUAUUUUGUUUCUGUACCAUGUAUUUGGCGACUCAUAAUGGAUUGCGUGCACCUAUUUUGGGGGCGUCACAGCGGUCGCUGAUAGACGGUCGCAGAUAAACCUUUUUUUUAUAAUGAUAUAAAAUAUGAGAAAUAAUUUUCAUGUCAUAAAUAGGUCGGCGCGUUCAACAUGCAUAUUAGUACUUGUUUUCUUUUGAAGAAUUCUCUAUCUUCCUUGUUAAUUCAAGAUUUUUAUCAAGGUUUAUUCCUUUGUUGGUAUUAGAAUGUUAUAUAAUCUUUAUGUUUGUGUUAGUACAUUAAAUUAAACAAGUUCCCGUUGCGUCGAUUUAAAAAAUUCUAAAAUUAUCAUAUAGCAGUUGCAAUACAAUGAUCUUAGUCCUCUCUAGAUAAAUAAAUAUACAAAUCUUUUCUCUAUCACAAGUAAGGGUGACAAUUUUUAACACGUCGCGUUAACUCGACAUGAGAGGGUUUAGUAUAGAGUAUAAACAGUUUUCGUUUAUAAACAUGUCCAUAUAUUUAAUAUGAAAUUUAAAUAGGUCAAACACAUAUAAUCAACUGUUUGACACAUUUAACAUGAUUAAAUACGUCUAUUUAAAAUAAUUUGAAAAUAAAAUAUUGAGUUUUAAAAUAAUAAUAAUUAAAUACGUCUAUUUAAAAUAAUUUAAAAAUAAUUUAUCGUAAAUAUUGAGUUUUAACAAUAAUAAUUAUGUCAUAGCUAAAUAGACAAGACAAAAAUUAUAUUGAUUGAAAUUACGUCCUUUUGGAUUGUUUACCACAAGACCGUUAUCAAAACAAGAAGCUGGUGGAAUAAUGAAUUUUCUAAACGCAUCAUACAUUCAAGAGACAGGAAUUGAACUUUUCAACACAAAUUUGGCAAUUCCAAACUAAACUAUUUCUGAUCAUGACAAGGACUAACUAACAUGCAUCACCAAAGGAAGAGAGAAUGGAUUAAAGAAGCUAGUCAAGUUUCCAAAAGAUGAUUUGUUCUUCUUGACUGACUGACUGACUUAUGCAGACCUCCAUCCACUUGCCUAUUAAUGGUGUCAUAGGUCCACAACUUAAUAAAUAAACCAACUUGGAAGGUUGUUAAGGUUUUGUUAAGCUUACUCAAACCAAACUCAUUCACAAAUUCAUAUAUGUUGAAUUACAUUUAUGUCCCCUAAACUUUGAUCUGGUUAUAGUAAAAUUGUCUCAUCACAUAUAUCAUUAUAAAAUUUUAUAAUUUUUUAUUGCAUUAAUUGAUUAUAGAAAAUGUUACAUAUAAGUAUAACCUCCUGUUUGUGAGCCAACACUACAACAUUUGUUAUAACAAAUAUAACAAAAAGAGAUAGAACUCCAUGAUGAUAUGUGAUGUGACAACUUAAUCAUAACUAAAUCUCUUAAACUGCAUUAAUUUCAUAUCAUAUUUGCACUUAUAAAGGUGUAAUGUUUGUCCCUUGUAUGUACUCAGGGGUGGAUCUACACUUAGCCAGUGUAGACAAUUGCCUACAUUGAUUUUUUGAAAAACAAAAAUAUUUUAGGGGUAGUUUUGAAUAUAUAUAUAUAUAUAUAUAAUGCAUAAAAUUAGGGGAUUAGAUUAAAAAAAAAUCAAGUGAUUGGAUAAGAAAAAAGAUGAGCUUUUACAUUACAUUUAUGAGUUUUUGAUAGAAAAUAAUAAAAAAACUCAAAUUAGAAUUAAAAAAAAAAUAGAAAACCUAUAAAUUUUCUUUUGUGUUACAUGUAAGUUUAGAAAAAUCAUAAAAAAAUUAACUUUUAAAUAAAGAUUAUUACUAAUUUACUCUUAUAUUAAAUUUUCUUGUGUUUGUAUAUAAAGUGUAUGUAAGGACUACAAAAUAUUUACGAAUUUUUUUUCUUUGUAGUUCAAAUUAAUCUAUUCAACUUUUAGACUAAAAAUUUUGACAAAAAGUAGCCAAGUCUUCUGUUUAUUUUUUUUCUAUUUUUGUCUCUUUAAAAAACUCAAAAACAAGAGAACUUAACAUAAAAUUAACUUUUUUUCAUUAAUUUUUUUUUGUUUGUUUCAAAACUCAAAAAAAUAGUGUUAUGGAAAGGAAGGGGUAUAUUGUAUUUUAAUUUUAUUUACUUUGUUCUAUUGUUUAUUUAAUUAAUAUUUUUCUUAAUAAAAAAAAUAUUAUUAAAAUAAUUUGGUUACACUAAAAUAGAAUUCUGGAUCCGCACUUUGCACUUCUGUCAAUCUUGUGUUCGAGUAAGACAAAAAAUUAGGACCUCAUAUUUCCACAUGAAAAACUGAAAUUUCUAUACAAUUCUCUUUUACUCCAUUCGUCCUUAUUUAAAUGACGUUUUAAAAUUUUUUAUGUCUAAUUAUUUGACAUUUGUUCAAAUAUAAGAGAAUUAAUAAUAAUUUUUCUAAAAUUACCCCUCAUUAUUCUUUCUACUUUUUUGAUACUUUAAACUCUUUCUUUUUCUCUCUCCAUAUCUCAACAAAACUCUUCUCAUUCUAACAAAACUCUCCUUAUCCCAACAAAAAAUUUAAGAAUAUUAUAGACAAUUGAGUACUAUAUUUAAUACUUUUCAAUCAUUAUCUUAAUGUUUGUGUCCAUCUCUAAAACGUCAUUUAAAUAGGGACGGAGGGAGUAUAUCGAUAUGAGACCCAUUUAUUAUUCAUGUCAGAGAAAUCAUGUAAAAAUAUUAAUUUUCUAUAUGAAAAUAUUAAUUCUCAAAAAAAUAUAACUAGAUACAAAUAUGCAAGUAUAAAUGACAAAUAAGGUGAUAUUCAGUCGCGAAAUAUAUGUACAUACUACUUAGGAUAAAGGAAAUUUAAUUAGUCAUUCCUUAACCAAGAAAGAAAAUGAAGAUGAAGAUGAAGAUGAAGAUGAAAGAAAGUUUUGUAGUUUUGUUGUAUUUUAAAGUUUUAAUGAUUUUCAAAAAUAAAAUUAAUUAUAUGUUUCUAUUUGCUAUAAAAAAUAAAAAUAAAAAUCUUAAACGGUCUUCUUAUCAUGAAUACAUAAGAAAACCAAUAUUUUUUUAUUAUUUUUUAUAUUUUCACAUGUAAGACCUAUAUUAGCUGAUGUAUCGAAUUUUUAUUAAUUAAUAUAUUAGUCCUAUGUAUAAAAAUAUUAAAAGGUGAAGUUAAAAUAUGAAUUCUCAUGCUUAAGUAUAUGAAAGGACAGGGUACAUAGGUGUCAUGAUUAUCAAAUAGUUAUACAACUAAUUAAUACAACUAGUCUUCCUAAAAAAUCACAAAUUUGGUUGGCACAUACCUACUUGUGUUUACCUUAGUAUAAUGGGGGAGAAAUGUGGGAUAAUGAGGAAAUAGAAAUAUAUUAUUGAAAAAAAGGUUGAGAAAAUGGGAGAGUAGAAACAAUUAUUAAUUAAUCUUUUUCGUUUUAAAAUUAGAGAUACAUUUUAAUUUUUGAUAUCAAACGACGAUAUGUUAAACUUUGAAAUUGGUAGACUCGUAAAAUUUUAGAAAAUAAUAAAGUUUGUGAUUAAUAGAUUUUAUUAUAUACUAUACAAUUAUAAUAAUUGUAUAAAUUAAAAUUAAAUAAAUUCACAUCAAUUUAAAAUUUAAUAUAUCGUCGUUUGACCUCAAAAAUUAAAUUAUAUAUCUAAUUUUAGAACAAAAAAAAGUAUUAUUUUUAUUAUUUUACCUGAUAGCCUCGCCAAUGCUGCGACGCUAAAGGUUAGCUCGAUGAGUAAUAUUCUUCAACUUGAAGUUGAAUGACAGAUAAAUUGAAUAUAUUUAAUUUGAAUCCAUCUCAAUUAAUAUCUAGUUACUGCUCUAGAGAUUAGUUCAAUUUCCACUAAAAAUUGCACUAGGAGACGUACCAAAUAUUCCUUUUUGAUAAGGUAUAGUUUUCAACAAAUUGAAUAAUUAAUUAAGAUUGGACAAUUAUCAAAACUUUCAUAUCAUUCAGUGUCUUCUUGUCAUGAAAUAACUUAAUUACUACCUCUGUUUCUAAAAGAUUGUCGUUUAAGAUUAAUGCACACAGAUUAAGAAAUAUAAUUAAUACCUAACAAAAAUACUAUACUAUCCUUAUUAAUUGUCUCAACUAAUUAUUCCCCUCCCAAUGUUUCUUAUUCAAUUCAACCAAUUGCUUCUUAUUCAACCAAUUACUACUUGGAUUAUAGCAUUAAAUUGAAUAAGAAUCAUUGGGAAGGGAAGAAAAUUUUAAAUAGAAGAAAGCUUUAAAUAAGGGUAAAGUAAGAAAAAAAUAGCUAAUGUGUAUUGAUAAACUCAAAACGACAAUUUUUUUAAGACAAAAAAUACUUCUUAAAACGACAAGAACAGAGGGAAUAAUUAACUAAUCACUCUUUUAAAUUCAAAGUUUGGUUUAAGAACUAAACUAGUAUAAUAUUCUUUUGGCCAAACUAAACUAAACUAAGUUCUCCCACCAAUUGUGUUUAUCUCUUGUUUAUUAUCAACAAUAAUAUAAUAAUGCAUGUUUUAUUUUUACUAGAGAGAGAUUCAUUUAUCUACUAAUAACCUCUCAGUUCCAAAAUUAAAAAUAUAAUUUUUUUAAGUUCAAGCGACAGUAUAUUAAAUUUUAAAUUGAUGUGAAUUUAUUAUACUUAUAUAAUAUAUAAUAAAAAUUGUUAAUCACAAAAUUUAUUUCAUUCUAAACUUUUUUAAUUAGUCAUAUUAAUUUUAAAGUUUAAUAUGUUGUCGUUUGACCUCAAAAGUUAAAUUAUAUGUCUAAUUUUGCAAAUAAAUGGAAUAAUAUUUUUCUUCAUUCUCAAAGGGUUCAUUCUUAAAUAAUUAUAUAUGCAAAGUGUCAGCAUUAAUUUUCCUUUUAACUAAUAUGAGAUCAUCAACUAGAUUUAACAGAAUAAUUAUAAAAUAGAAGAUUAUAAAAAAAAAAAAAAUUGUUCCAUAAUAGAGAAAAGAUGAAGAAUGAGAAGAAGAAUAUUACUCUAGAAGAUUACUUAAUUAGACGACAAUUCUAAGAAGAUUCUAGUAGUAAUAAACAACGGUUUGCAGUGAGAACAUAGAGAGAUUUUUGAAUCAAAAGUCUCCUAUAUACACCAACUAAUGCUUUAAUUAACAUUAAUAACAGAAAACAUAAUAAAUAUUUUUUUUUUUUGAUAUUUUUAUAUAUAAUUGUUAACGACACUUGAUAUUUUAAGUGAUAUUUAUUGUUCAACUGUGAUGAUUUAUGUAUAAACUUUGAUAUUUAUUGUUCUAUGAAUUGAUCAAAACUUUACUAUUAGACUAUCACUUUUGAUCUAACUAAAUUAAUCAGGUUAGUUUAACUAGUAACUGUCAUGUUUUUUGAAUGAAUCUUGAUUUCAGACAGUUCAAAAUGGAAAGUUUAUUUGGACAAUUUAUAAAAAUAAUUCUCAUUUUAUAAGCAUAAAACUGCAAUUCGAAUGAAUUUUGUAUUACAUGUUCUUUCUUUUUUACUUCAACUAAUACUUAUAUUGACAUCUCAGUCUCAUAUCGUAACAUGCGGAUACUUUGGUAUGUAUAUAAGACCCUAAACUACUAUCAUAAUACAUUUAAUUAUAUUUUAGAUGAAUAUGUAAUAACCUAAGAUAACUCAAAAAAAUAUUAUUAAAACAGUGCAUUGAAUUUUAAUAUGUUAAGAUUUGAUUUAAAUUCAAAAAAUUUAUCUAAAUUGUUACACAAAAAAAGAAUAUUUACUCCAAAGCAGUCUUAUUUAUAAAAAGAAUAUUAAUAACAAAGAGAAUGGGGAAACCUUCCGUUAAUAGUGGGGAAUUAAUAAUAGUAGGGAAAAUAAACCUUAUAUUAUACUCCUAGUUACCCUCCCACAAUGGUAUCUCUUGAUUCGAGGAUUCACUUUUCAUAUUUAAUGUAAACAUUGUAAUGUCAAAUGUCACUAGAAAGUUAAUUCUGGUCUUGGACAAGCUUCUGCUUUUAUUCAUUUAGAGAUACAAGUAUUAUAUAUAUAUAGAAAUGACUUCUAUAAUCAUACUUAUUUUCACAAUUAUAAAGAGUGGAAAGUCCUAUGAUAAAUAGAAAAUACAAAUUUAUAUUUCCUAAUUUCAUCCCAUAAUUAUUGAAAUACUUUUUUUUUUGGUGUGUGGUAGGGAAUUUAAGAUGAAUCAAAAACAUAUUUUGAUAUUAUAUUUUUAUGCAUAUUUAUAUAUUUUGGUAUAUUUAGAUAUUAUAUUUCAUUUAUAUGACGAAAAUUUUAAUAAUAUAAUAUUUAAAUAUAAUUUUUACAUGUUUUAAAAUCUAUAUAUGCCACAAAUAUAAAAAAAAAUAUUUCAAUAAUUAUGGGACGGAAGAAGUAUAAUUUUUUAGAAUCAAACCUAAUUAAAAUCUAAUGGUUAAUGAGCCUUGAUCUAUAUUAAUCACUCGCUCUAUUCCGCGAAAAAAUUCUCCUAAUUAAUAAAUUGUUGGUAAAUAUAAUUUCAUGAUAAUAAAAAUUUUAAGUGCAAAUUUAAUAAUGGCAAAAAUGGAGGAGAGGGCUACCUUAAGCAAGCCCUCAAAAUGACGUUAUUUUGCAUAAUUGAAUAUACUUCUUCUAAUAUUAUGCACAAAAAAAAUACUUUUAUAAUUUUUUAAAAUAUUAUUAUUAUAAAAAUAUAUAUGAGGUAGUCCCGACUUAAUAACAUAAUAACAUAAUAUUAUUUUAUACUAUUAUUAAUAAUAAAAAAAUUAUCUACUUUUUUAUAAAAUAAUUUUUUUUAGCAAAUAAAAACUAAAUGAGGACUACUAUAGACUAAGACAUCUUUGACGUAUACAAACUUUCAUGCGUAAAAUGUUGACGAAGAACAUGAGUUAUUUAUAAAUGGAGAGAAUUAAUAAUAAAUGCAUGGUUUCAACAUUAAGAAGACCUCAUAUAGUAUUAAUUAUUAAUUAUUAAUUGUUGAUGUGAUUCAUGCAUGUGCCUAACCCUAAAUUUUCAACAAUCCCAAGAAUAGGUCAACUUAUAAAUAUGAUUAUUUAUAAAUCCAAAAGAACUUAAUUCCUGCAAUUAAAAACUAAUCAUAUUCCAAUGGGAAAAUGGAAUAUAUAUAUAUAUAUAUAUAUAUAUGAGAUUUUUCUUCAUCUUAAUUCAAUUUUAGGGUUUAGGGUGUAGGUUCCAGUCUUCCAAUUCUAGCUUAAUUCCUCUUUAGGGCACAUGGCUGAAACGUAUACUCAGGGAUAUUUGUCUUCCAAGUCAUCUCAUAUAUUUGUGAUGCAUGUAGAGUGAAAUAAAAAUUGACAUUUAUUAUAAUUCCUAAAUAUAAUUAUAUGCAGAAGUAGCAACCCUAAAUAUUUUUAAAUUAUAUUAUACACUUGCAAUGAAUGAUAACCGUUGUUAACGUCAAGAUCUUUCUCCACGUCCCAAUCACGAAAGACGUCCUGAUCCUGCACAGUAAACACGACAAACACCACAAGCUUGACGGCUGGACCGCCGGAGGAUAGCUCAGGCGUAAGAGUAAGUAUGUCUGUUCACAAAGUUAAUUCAAGAGGAUAAUAGAAUUUAGUGUAUUGAGAGUGAUCAUUUAUGAGUUGUGUGAAUGUGUAUAUAUGAAUGAAACGUACCUCCUUGUGAAGACUUACUCACUAAGAAAUAAUAUCCUUGCUUGGAUUAUCGUGCCGCCCACUAUCACCUGACAUAUCCCCNNNNNNNNNNNNNNNNNNNNNNNNNNNNNNNNNNNNNNNNNNNNNNNNNNNNNNNNNNNNNNNNNNNNNNNNNNNNNNNNNNNNNNNNNNNNNNNNNNNNUUCACAUAACUUAAUUGAAUUAAAUGCACAAUUAGGAUUCCAUGACCUCAUUAAAUGUGUAAAUUAGGGUUCUCAUGGCCUAAUUGACUGAAUACAAAAAAGUCGGAAAUAAAUGUACUAGACCCGAGAGAAGCCUCCACAGGUCCCGAAGCAAAAGGCUCGGGGAAGACAUGUGACUACUUAAGUUCCAAGAAACUCUAUAAAUACCCCUUCCAUUCUAUGAAGGAGGGGACUCUUUUUGGGACUGGAGACUUUGGGAGCUGAGACCUCUUGCUGGACUUAAAAGCUUGAAUCUCUUGGAAUCCCUGUUACCCUAACAAUGUUUCUGAAUUCUAAGGAUUCUUGGACAUUCUCUCUCAACCCGAAGCACUCAAGAAGGCUCAUUGAAUCCCUGCUACUCUAAUAAGGUUUCUGAAUUCUAGGAGUUCUGUCACGCGUCAUUGGAGUAAUCGCUCACACGUUCUUCUCCCCUCUUCAAUCAAUCAAUCAAUUACGUACUCUUCGUUGAUUUCUCUCCUCCUCAACCAGUACGAAACCCUAAUCUUAGCAAGACACGAUUUCCUUGCCCACAUUUCUUUGGCGACUCUGCUGGGGAGGUAUAGAAUUCAUGAUGAGUAUGCCCACAACUCGAAGUGAGAGAACUACCGGAAGAGUUUCACCAACAACGAGCAUUACUUCACCGGAUCCAAUUUCAAGGCAAGCAAAUCAAGCUUUUUAAGGCAUGAAUCAAGAUCUCGAUCAACCUACCCUUGAAGAUGCCUCGGAAGGAAGUUCAACAUCACCAUACAUGGUUGAUCAACAACUAAUGAAUGUCAAGUAGACAGGUGCGAGAAGGCAAGGCGAGGAAGAAAGCGAAGAGUAGGCAAAUGAUGUGCAACUGGAGAUGCUCAAGGUGUAAGACCCCAACUUUUAGGAAUAAAGAUUAAAUUUUCUCGAAAUAUAUUUUUGAAUAUUAUGGUGUGAAUAUGAUAUAAUGUUAUAGUUGUGGGUAAUAUUUAUAAAUUUUGCAAAGUAAGCAAGUUGUUAUAAAAUAUUCGAUUGGUCGGGGAAUAUUCGUACGACGGCACAAUCAUUGGUGGACCCCACAACGGAAGUAUUGUCGUAGUUGGAAAAUGACAGAAUUAUCUUUUUAUAAAAAUAACGGCGAAAGUUUUACCAUUAAACUGUUGAACUACCCGGUAGUAAAAGUACAGUAAUACGCGUGGUUGCAUAGUAGCACACAGUAUUGAUUAUUGAUGCUUACGUGAGAAGUCACUUAGUUAUACUCAAUUAUUGCUACAGUAAUUGCUGCAUCAUAUCUCUCAUAUUGUUGAUUCAAUUAUUUUCACAGUAUCAUCUGCAUAAUAUUUUAUAUUAUUAAAUCAAUAAUUGAGAUGAAAAGGUUAUUCAUAUUAUUAUUUGCAAUAUUGACAACGUCUAGAAGUUCUGUCAAGGAGAGGUUUGGUCACCUAAUUGUGCGCCAAUAAGUUGAAAUCCUUAUCGGAAAGCCCCCUCUUUCCUGGGAACGACCUAGUUGUUAAAUAUUGUGAGUUAUAAUAUUAAUGAUGAAUAAGUUUGUAACGCCCCAGAAAAUCGAACCUUUGUAAAUACUUUUAAUAAUGAAUAAAAUAUUAUUAUUUAUUAUUAUUACGUGUGGAUAAGAUGAAUGUCGUUCUAUAACCUAGAAACGUUGAAAUGUCGUAGUAUUUUAACUUCGUGGGAGAAUUAAAGUGUUUGAAUUUCUAAGACGAAAAUAAAAGCUUUCCGAGAAAUUUUCUGAAAAACACUAUUCAUAGAUUUCUGCUCGGGAAUUAUUUUUGAACUUCCGAGAAAUGCGUAAUGUUAUAAUAUCAAGGUGAUAUGGAUUAUGUAAUAAUACCCUAAGUAUGGAAAACGUAAUAUUUCGCAUGCGGACUUAAUUUGGGAACGUUAGGUUUAUUAAGCGUUAAAGGAAGAAAGUUGUGAUUGUAUAAUGUGUAUUCAUUAUAUAAAGGUAAUGAAUGUAAGUAUAAUACGACGUAUUGUACUAUUAUGUAUGAAGAAUGAGAUAACGUAUAUUACGAAUUAAGAUACGAGCUAGUAUACGAAGAUUAUACGUGGGGUAUAAAUGUUAAGUUGUUAAAUCUAAGGUAAUGGACUUAUAGGAUUAUUAGCCUAAUAAGAGAAGUCCAAUAGAAGGUGACAAUCAAGCCCAAGUGUUUGAUAGAUCAUGAGUCCAAACUAUGGUAGCAUAAGCCCAAUAAGGAAGUAUUUAUAUUUAAUUAACAAGCCCAAUGAGAAGCCAUGAUCCAUGGGGCAAUCCAAGUAUAAAGUGGGUAGUCUUGAUGGGCAAAUAAUAUGUGUGAUGAUCAAGUAUUAGAAGUGGUUAACAAGUAGACUUGGAGGUUAAGUUAUGAAUAGUAAGGAGGUGGAGGUUAAGGAGGUUAAUUGAGGAGGUGGAUUAAAGGAGGUGGAUGGUUUAAAGACCAUUCUACCCUAGCUUUGGAUUGUCUAUAAAUACAAGCCUCAUUUAUUUUUGUUGGUUGUUAUUUCAUCCAACAAUUUCCUCUUAAGAUAAGCAACUUAUUUGGUAGAGAGAAUAAGUCACAUAAGCACUUAUAAGCCACUUCAAUUUUUGCUAGAUUUUCUAAAGUGAAGUGAAGUAAUAGUCUUCAAGGGUAAGACUCAUUUCUAUUAUCUUCAUCUCUUCUAUGAUAGGAUUGAUAGAGAAGGGGGAUUGUUUGAUAAUAACAUGUAAUAAGUCAUUGAGGAAUGAACUUAAGUCGAAUAAGUUGAAUAAGCAACUGGAAUUCUAAUAAGUUGAUAGAAUCAUGAAGAACUUGUCAUAUGUUUGUCAUAUGAUGUUAGUAUGUUGAAUAUAGUAUGAGAACAUUGAUUGAUGGACUUAAGUUUAUAGUAUGUCAUUAGCAUGAGAAUUUGUAGUUAAUAAGUUGAGUAAGUCAUUGACUUAUGAGAAUAAGUCAAAACCUACUUUGAUGAUAAGUUGGUAUGAUGAGUAAUUUGAAAUGUUCAUGUGUUGGUUAAAAUCCAUUUAGAAUGAUUAGUAAUGAAGUUUUGCCGAAAUUCACACGAUUAGACGAUAAUCGUUGAAUUCGUGAAAUUCUCGGAAUGGAAGUCGUAUUUUGUGUUUGAAGUCAGAAACGUUGGUUUUCGAUAAAGACAAGUCAUAUUUGGCAUUAUAUAGUUGCGAACUCAAAAAUGACCGAAUUCUGACUUAGAACGAAGAAACGAGCGUUGAACGUUCGCGGACGUUUAUCGUUUUCGUUAAAAAUGAACUCAUAGGUGAAAUUUUAGAAAAAGAAGUCAAAUAGAUAAAAUUCUUGCAUGAACGCAUAGAGUAUGUAAUUUGUGAACCGUAGGCUUUUGAACGAGCCAAUUCAGACUUAUAACGAAGAAGUUAUGAGUCCGAGAGUUUCGUAAAAUUUUUAAAAAUUGCAAACUAUCUGAGGCACAGAGUUGGCACCGUGGCGCCAACCCAAGGCCAAAUGAGUGGCGCCGCAGCGCCGUAACAGUGUCUGAGCACACUGCUAACUCGCGCCGCAGCGCGAGAUAAAGAACAAAGUGUGGCGCCGCAGCGCCGUAACAGUGUCUGAGCACACUGCUAACUCGCGCCGCAGCGCGAGAUAAAGAACAAAGUGUGGCGCCGCAGCGCCAAAUCCGGAUGUUAGACACUGCUAACUCGCCCCGCAGCGCGAGAUGAAGGGCAGUGGGUGGCGCCGCAGCGCCAACCCUAGGCAAUGGUCAGUAAAGAAUGUUUUCAAGUACAGAAUGAAUGAAAACUUGUUAGUAAGGAACUAAGAUAUAAGCAUAACAUUGUUAAGGCAUUGUAAGACACUUAAGUAUGAUGAUUAAGAGUUAAUAAUCAAUUGAAGAUGAAUGAAAUGUGAAUGACGUAAUGAAAGCCGAAAACCCAUAAUAGUAUAUCUAAGUCAGGAUUUACAUUGAGAUGAAGGGUAAGAUAUAAUAGUAUACAUACUUGAUUAUAUACAACCUAAUGUGGUACGUUAUAUGAUCAUGUAUUGUAGAAACGUAGUGACUUAAAGUAUACAUGUGUUAAUCAGUAAGCAGACGCUGAAGGCAAGUAUUCUAACCCUUGUUCCAGUUCAGUCUGGACAAGUUUUGUAAUUCAUGUAUUCUUUUACAUGAAGUCUUGAAUGAUGAAGUCUAAAGCCAACUCUUUCGGCUAGACUUAUAUUAUGAUUCUGCCAAGCAUGAUUUAUGUUUACCGAGUUAUAUUGGUAUGGUUUUCAAUCGAAGACCAAGUAUGCUAAAAUGUUUUUGUCGUUUAACGACAGGCACGUGAGGUUGCCACAACUUAAACGUAUACACGUUUAAUGAAUGUAGUGUUGAUCAACAUAGAGUACUAUGGGCUGAUCACCCAGAAGUGCUCGUAAGUUAUGCCGGAUAUACGGACUUAGUGUCGGGUUGUCCUUUUUAAAAGAAAUUAUGAACUGCUCAUAGUUUUGAGCCUUAGUUGAUAUUUUACUGAAUAUUGUUGUUGGAAAACAUUUUGAAUGAAAAGAAGUGCUAUUUUGAAUUAUCGAUAGUACUUCAUAACUAUUGUUCAGUUACUGAAGAUAUAUGAGUUCUAUGUUUCAAGCAUGUUGUUUAUUAGAAUUAUAGUACUUGUUAAGUAGUCAUGCUCACUCUUGCUUGAACUAUAUGAACACAGCUAAGAUCGAAUGGACCGAAGGUUCCGACAAGGAUAAAGGUAAGUUGAAGUCGAACCCUUAGAGUGCUGAUGUAAUAGUAUAGGUGAACGAUUCUAAUAUAUUUUAUAUUAUGACAAGAACAAAUGUAUGGGUUAUAAAGAACUUGGGGAAAUGUAAUAUUAUUUCUAAUAUAUAGAAGACAUAUUCGUUCUUUUGAGACUUUUGAAUUGAAUGUAUGUGUGAAUGGUAGUACCGUGUAGCACCAUCUUUCGGAUUGGAAGAUACCCGGAUUUGGGGGCGUCACAAAGUUCGUGUUGAUUAAAGAUGAAAUUGAUAGCUCCAUUGUGCUGGGAUUAUUAGUGUUAGUGGAAAUCGACAUCUAUUUUGAUAAUAAUGGAUGUCUGGAGGUUAUAUUGACCAAUCGGGUAAUUAAUCGGAUAAAUGAGCAAUUAAUUGCUAUUAUUUCACAUGCUUAUAAUUAUUUAUUCACAUGUGUGUACUAUUGAUUCACAUACAUGUACUAUUAGGGGAGGUGGUGCAAGAUUGAUAAUACUUGCAUGACUAAAUUAAAAAUGGAGGUAUAGAUGAAGAUAUUAUACUGUAAUUUUUUUUCCACAUGAUUGAACUAUUGAUUCACAUGAAUGUACUAUUAAUUCACACGAUAUACUAUUAGGAGAGGUGGUGCAAGUUUGAUAAUACUUGCAGGACUAAAUUAAAAAUGAAGGAAAAGAUGAAGGUAUUAUACUGUAAUAUUUUGAGCCCCAAAAUGUGCAAUUAUCGAAACUAUAUUUUCCUAUAAAUAAAAGCUCAUUCUUCCAUCAUUCUCACCAGUUCACUAAGACUCACAAGAGCAUUUAUAGAGAGAGAAGCUAUAGAGAGAAAGAAGAAGAGAAGUCUGCUACCUCACUAUUCCAGUAUCCAAUCUUCUUCUGAGGUAAGGGAUAUUAUUUUGUUCAGUAUUCGUAGGAAUAAUAUUUUCUUCCAUACUUUGUAGUAUGUGAGUUGUGAGACCCCGAAUUUUAUGAAAUGAAAGUAUUCAAUUUUCUUAUUAUUAUUUUAUUUAGUAAAUGGUUAAAUUGAGAAAUGGUUAAAGUUAAGGGUGAUAUUUGAAAAUUUUACAAAGUAAGCAAAUUGUUAUUCGAUUAGUCGCGGAAUAUUCGUUUUAACAGGGAAUAUUCGUAUGACGGCAUAAUCAUUGGUGGACCCCACAACGAAAGUAUUGUCGUAGUAAGAAAACGACAGAAUUAUCUUUUUAUAAAAAUAACGACGAAAGUGUUACCGUUAAAACUGUUGAACUACCCGGUAGUAAAAGUACAGUAAUACGCGUGGUUGCAUAGUAGCACACGGUAUUAAUUAUUGAUGCUUACGUAAGAAGUCACUCAGUUAUACUCAAUUAUUGCUACAGUAAUUGCUGCAUCAUAUCUCUCAUAUUAUUGAUUCGAUUAUUGUCACAGUAUCAUCUGCAUAAUAUGAUAUAUUAUUAAAUCAAUAAUUGAGAUGACAAAGUUAUUCAUAUUAUUAAAUUGCAAUAUUGAAAAUGUCUAGAAGUUCUGUCAAGGAGAGGUUUGGUCACCUAAUUGCGCGCUAAUAAGGAGAAAUCCUUAUCGGAAAGCCCCCUCUUUCCUGGGAACGACCCGGUUGUUAAAUAUUGUGCAUUAUAAUAUUAAUGAUGAAUAGGUUCGUGUUUAUUAAAGAUGAAAUUGAUAGUUCCAUUGUGUUGGAAUUAUUAGUGUUAGUGAACAUCGACAUUUAUUUCGAUAAUAAUUGAUGUCUGGAGGUUAUAUCACUACAACAAAAAGACUUAUCAGAGACCGCAUAUUAGCGACCACAUAUGGUCGCAGAUGCGUAUAUGCGACCAAAUACGGUCGCUGAUAGUAGUCGUAGAUAAUCUGGUCGCUGGAUGGACUUUAGCGACCAACAAUAGUGACCGACUUAUCAGCGACCGCUGUUAGCGACCGAAUCCAUCGCUAUUAUGACUCAUGCUGAGUUAUGUGUCAGUUGUGACGUGGCACACGUGUCAACGACUGAAUCGGUCGCUAGUUUCAAGGUAGCUAUCAGCGACCGCGUUUUAGUUUUAGCGACUGUAUGCGGUCGCUGAUCCUUUUUUUUUAAAUAUUUUUCCUGUUUUAUUGAUUUCCCAAAAAUAACCUGCUUUGUACCUUCUUUCUAUCCUAACACACAAUAGUAUAUAUAAGCAUCCAUCCAUGAUAACUACCAUAUGAUAAACAUUCAUCCAUGAUAACUACUAUAUGAUAAACAUCCAUCGUAAACUAACACAAUACAAUCGUAAACAUCCAUAUAAUAUAAUCGUAAACUAAUACAAUUGUCCAAAGAAUCAAUCUAAAAGAGUACAAGGCUUUAAAAAUCUAAAAAACAAGUCUAGCAAAGCUUUAAAAAUCUAACAUAUAUGACUUGUCUAGAUCUUCAUGGAUCAUCCAAAUUAGUACCUUGUAAUUAAUAAAAGAAUAAAACAUAUAUGUUACAUGUGUUAAUACUGCUAUGACUUGGGAAUUAAAAGCUAAACAAUAUCGAUAUAUAUACCUGGUCGCCACCCUGAUGCUGUGAUGCUGCUGCUACCGCCACUACCUCCGCCAACUCAUCAGGACUAAGAGAAUGCAGAUGCCCACCCAGUAUACGAAGAAGAUCACGAUUCUGACAGAUCGCUCUCACACAGUCAGCAGGAGUAUGAUAGGCUGGAUGACCUGAUGACUGUGUAGACUGGGUAAAAGAGCUUCCUGUACCACUGAUGGUCGGGCGUCGUUUUUUGUCCUUGGCCUUUAACAUAGUUUUUCUUCAUGACGGACGCCCUUUCCCACAAUUCUUGAUCAAUCGACGGACGCGGGGUGCCUUCAGGAUAUCGCUCGUUCAUUAAGCCCUUAUAAGUGUCCUGUCAGAAGGUUAAAAAUUAAAUAGUUAAAAAUAAAUUAAAAAAUGCUAAAAAGGUCGUUACAAUUUAUAAACAACUUAUUAGUAUAAAGUUAACUUAUUACUGCUAUCUCAACAGCAUCAGGCAGACCAUCACGGGCGGCCACAUACACAUCCAACCAAUUGAUAGGUUGACCUUGAGACUCAGACUCCUACAGUUCAUGUUCUCAUAUUAAUAUGUAAACAUAUGAUAUUUUAGCUACAAAACAUGACUGUAAACAUAAAAACAAAUAAAUAAGCCAAUAAGCUUACUAUACAUACGUACCCUAGCAGCAAUAUGCUGCAGCUGUGAUAUACUGCCGCCCUUGUACGUGCAUUUUGCCUUUUUGCCUUCAGAUACACCUGAGGAUCUGUUCGAGGCGGUAGUCUUGCGUCUCUUGACCUAGCUCUCUGCUCUCCACUAGUCACACAUCUGUACCCAUAUGGGAUGUGUGCACCACCAGGGACUAUGCUCAUGCAUAUACUGCUCACCCUGUCCUUGAUGGUCAAUCUCAACAUUGUGUAGGGCUUUUUGUCGUUCCUUGUUUAGAUUAUCUUUAGUUCGGAAGGCGCACUUUCUGCCAGAACAGUGUCUGAAUAACUGAUGCAUGUUCGUCGUCCCAUCUAUACCGCUUUUUCAAAUAAAACAAUAAUAAUAAUAUUAAAACUGUUAUAUUAUAUUACCAUAAUCCAACAAUAUUAUUUGAUUAACUAUGUAUUAUCUAUCAGAGUGAUAAAAAAAAUAUACUUGAAAUUCAGCCCAAACUGUAUCCUUAUGGGCGAGAGGUGUGCUCGCCCAUGUAAUCACUGGCGUAGGCCAGUUCUGUAAGCAUAAUUGUGAAAUGCACUUCACAAUUUUACUAUCUUGAAAAUCACUACAAUAUACAAUAAUUUACAGUCACAUAUAUUUAUAACAAUGGAAAUAUUAAACCCUUAUAUAUACACGAUGUUUAACUUACGUGCUUUUUGGAGGAGGACAGAUCUGUAUAAGAAUGCGAUUAUCCGGAUUAGCCGGGGCCUUUGGCACAUGAUUAGGGCCCCGACCCAACCCGCGUUUUUGUGCUGCAAGUUCAGAAGACAUCUAUAAAUAAAAAAUUUAGGAUGCUAGUAUGAGUUAUAAAUGAAAGAUACAUAAACGCGUCAAGGAUAUAGAGAACAUGUACAUAUGUAAUUGUAUGUAAUACAAUUAAAACUAAAUAUACAUUUUAUAUAAAAGGACAAUAAUGACAAUUAAUUGUAUGAAAUAGUUAACUACGACAACUAUAAAUGAAAGGUACAUAAACAUGUUAAGGAUAUAAAGAACAUUCCUAUAUGUAAUUCAUUGUAAUACAAUUAAAACUAAACAUACAUUUUAAUGAAAAUCGUUGUCUGAGUCAGAAUCAUUUUGUACAAGUAUCGGAGAUUCAUAACCAUCUUCUUCUUCAGAUUCUGUGUCAGUGUCAGUCAAUAACUCUUCCUUAGUAUCAUUGUCAUCUGGCACAAUAAUUGUCUCGGGAUCCAAUUCAUCAGGUUCAUCUCCACCCUCUAACUGGAUUACAUCAUUGCUGUCCUCUAUAUUUAUUAUAGGAGGUCUAUGAAGCAUCUCCUUUUGGUAGAAAUCCCCAUCUAUUAUUUGGACACGACUGCGCGCAGGAGUAUGAAUUACAACUUACCAAUCUGUAGGCGGUCUAUCCCUUUUCCUAACAGGACUAGGAGUGUAGUAUACUUGUACUGUUUGAGUUGGUAAAACAAACGGUUCGUUGGAGUACGCAGACCUAUGGAGGUCAAUAUCGACGAUUCCAUGUCUGUCAACACGUAUCCCUUUUUCUGAAUCAAACUAACGACACUUGAACAAGUUAAUAUGACCCCUGUAUGUGCCCUUGUACGACAACUCUAUGAUUUCCUCCAACUCCCCAUAAAAGGCACGACCAAGCUCAUUAUAACAAUCUCCUUGGACACACACUCCAUAGUUCGUUGUUCUUUUACCGCGCCCAUAUGCCUUUAUAUGAAAUUCACAACCAUUUAUUUUGUAACCAUUGCGGCUGACUUGGUCCGUAUCUGGUCCCAUAGCUAGGACUUGUACAUUAGCCGGAAUCGUUGAUCCCUUAGUCAAAGCCUACAAAAACUCCAUCUUAUUAAAUGAAGUCAUAGUUAACAUGGAAUAUAUAUAUAUAUAUACUACGUGCUUAAAAAUUGAACUUACUUUGUCCUUUAGCCAAAGUGCAAAGUUUUUAUCCCGAUUGAUUUGAAUAUCUUUAUCAGUUAUGCCGGGAUGCUUCACUUUUAACUCGUCAUCGUACAAUCUAUACCAUGUUAUAAACAUUAACAUAUUGGAAUAAAUUUUCAACUUAAAAGAUAAAUUAUCAAGUUUACAUGUGUACCUCACAAAUUCGUCAAUCUCCUCGCAAUUGAGAAGAAUGUAAGUAUGUGCAGCAUGCAAUUCUUACUCAGAGAGGAAUAUGCGCUUCCCUUUUCCAUAAGCGCGACCUGAUAGACCAAAUACAGAGAGCCGACCAUUUAGUUCAACAUUUCCCCCAUCAUCAUGUCUCGAUACUCGAUUGGCCUUUGUCAAGACUUCGUUUGGAAAAUAAUCUGACACAAACGUAGAUAUUUCAUCGAAACUGUAUGCCUCACAUAUCGACCCCUUGACAUAAGCUCUAUUCUUCACCUUCCUCUUAAGGUUUCCCAUCACCCUCUCAAAAGGGUACAUCCAUCUAUAUUGAACUGGACCCCCAACACGAGCUUCAUAGGGAAGAUGGAUUUGCAAAUGCUCCAUGGAGUCAAAAAAACCAGGUGGGAAUAUUUUUUCUAGUUUACACGUGAUCUCUAUGAUGUUCUUCUCAAGUACAGACAUGUCCUUCUCAUUUAAUGAUUUUGAACAUAAGUCUUUGAAGAAAUGACUAAGAUCCGUCAAAGCAUCCCAUAUUGGUUUAUCAAGCUAAUCCCGAAAUGCUAUAGGCAUGAGUCUCUCCAUGAACACAUGACAGUCAUGACUCUUCAUCCUUUACAAUUUCCCACCCGUAACACACCUUCCAAUGUUUGACGCAUAUCCAUCUGGUAGUUUUAGAGACUUAACCCAUGUGCACACAUCUUGAACUUGCUUUUUGGACAAUGUGUACCUUGCAUGCGGUUUGAUAAUCUUACCAUUAGGAGAUUCAUAAAGUUCUAAUCCAGGACGCUUACAAAUAUCUUUCAUGUCCAAACGUGCCUUAUCGUUAUCUUUUGUCUUCCCCAUAACAUUCAUCACAGUGUUAAACACAUUCUUCUCAAUAUGCAUCACAUCUAGAUUAUGACGAAUCAAAUUUUUAGACCAAUAAGGCAGUUCCCAAAAGAUGCUUCUCCGAACCAAGUUACGAGAUUCGCCAAACCCAUUGAUUAUGUUUGUGGCAUCAAUCUUACCAAAUGGGAUAACCAGCAAUCUCAUCACAUGAUCUCGCAUCUUCGUUCCCGACAAUCGUGGUGCAUGCAUAUCAUUGUCUACUUUUCCUUUCCUGAAGUGUUCUCUAUUUCUUCAAAACGGGUGAUCUACGGGUAAGAACCGAUGAUGACAGUCAAACCAAUAAGGCUUUCAACCUUUUGAUAUAUUAAACGACUAUGUAUGCUCCAUACAAUACGGACAAGCCAACUUCCCGUGUGUACUCCAUCCAGCUAACAUACCAUAAGCUAAGAAGUCACUUAUAGUCCACAUAACCGCUGCCCUAAGGUUGAAAUUUGUUUUUGUUGCAACAUCCCAAGUCUGUACUCUAUCCUCCCACAAUACCUUCAACUCGUCUAUAAGAGGUCUCAAGUAAACAUCUAAGUUCUUUCCAAGACUCUUAGGACGAAGAACGAUGAGUGAAAGAAACAAGUAUGGCUAUUUCAUACACAUCUAUGGAGGCAAGUUGUAUGGAGUAACAAUCCCAGGCCAACAUGAGUACGGAACAGCUGAGUGGCCAAACAGAUUGAAACCAUCGGUGGACAAUCCAAGCCUCACAUUUCUAGGUUCCAAUGCAAACCCAGGAUGUGCUAAGUUAAAAUCUUUCCGAGCCUGCCCAUCUGCGGGAUGAUUUAGUUCUCCAUCUUUAGCUGGAGAUUUCGCAUGCCAACUCAUAUGUUCAGCUGUUCCUGAAGACAUGUACAAUCUUUUUAGCCGAUGUGUUAUUGGAAAAUGCCUUAGAAUCUUAAACGGUAUACUUGAUUUUUUUGUAGUCACACCCUCUUUAUUAGGCCUAAACCGAUCAUGACUGCAAAACAUGCAGCUUGUCAUCUGUUCAUUUUCCUUAUAAAACAACAUGCAAUCUUUGGGACAUGCAUCGAUCUUUUGGUAUCCAAGACCCAACUUCUUCACCAUUUUCUUACAAAAGUAAUAGUUACCAGGUAAUUUCUCACCGUCAGGAAACAUACUCUUAAUGGCCUUCAAGAGCGACUCAAAACACUCAUGGCUCAUGUUGUGAUCAGCUUUGAUGUUAAGUAAUAUCGCCACUGCAGACAAUAUAGUGUGUUUGGUGCAACCAUGCCACAAUGGCUCGCUACCCUCGUCUAACAACUUAAAGAAGUCUUUAUCAUCAGAAUUCAUAAGUUGCUCUUUGCCUUGUUCCCAAUCAAAAUCUGGCCCUGCAAUAUCAUGAACCAUUUCAUUCAUACGAUGAGUACUACUGUCCGAAUUGUGUACUUCUGUGAUGCCACCAUCUCUUCUCUGUCCAUGUGCCCACCAGCAAUCUUCGUAAUUUUUCAUGAACCCAGAAACAAGUAAAUGAUAGUUUACCAUGUCUUUGUCCAUAUAAUUUACAUUCUUACACUUCAAACAUGUAUCUGCGACUUACCAUUUAUACAUUCCGGGUGACUAUACGCAUACUCCAAAAACACUUGGCAAUCAGCUCUAAAUUCAGCUGUAGCACCUAUCUGGGCACUUGACUUUCGUCGUGCCAUCCAACUACGGUCUGAAUAGAGGUCCAUGAUUCCACGUUACCUAAUAUAGACAACAUGAGCUUAUGAUUAACAUUUAAGCAUACUUGAGCAUACUUGUAAGCAUAUGACUUACAUUUAAGCAUACUAUGCAUACUUGUAAGCAUAUGACAUACUAUGUAUACUUGUAAGUAUGUGAGUUGAUAGUUUUAGUUCUCUUUUUAAAACCGAUUAGAUCAUCUUGAACUAAACAACAAAACCUAUUUUAAAUAUAUGCAGGGUCUCUACCACUAGGCCAUAUGAAAGCUAAACUAUGAUAUAUAUAUAUAUAUAUAUGUGUGUGUGUGUGUGUGUUGUUCUAAAUGAUCAACUAGCACUUAUAUAUUCAACAAAGCUACAUAGGAUUUCUUUCGCAGUAGUUUUGCUAUUACUGUUGCUACACCAUGUUCUACAUGUUCUAGUUGAUAUAUAUAUGUGUUGCUAUUACUGUUGAUAUAUAUAUGUGUUGCUACACCAUGUUCUAGCUCAAAGAUCUUUCUGCUAUUACUCAUAUUGCCCAACUAGUGCAAUACUUUAAUGGUCUU